rnacentral:lncRNA from 1 species
CUCCCUCUCCCUCUCAACCGGUUGCAAGAAAAGGGGAACGAAAAGAAGAAAAGAGAAGGAAAAAGAAAAGAGAAGAAAGGAAAAGAAGAAAAUGAUGGAGAAGAAGAAGCUUACCUCCAUCUUCAUCUUCCUCAUGCUUGGAGGAGCUUGAGAGGUAAACCAUUUGUCUCCUCUCAUGGUGGGAUUAGAGUUAGGGUUUGGUUUUUAAACCCUAAUACUUGGAGAUUUGGAGCUUCUAAUGUGUUUAGAACCAUGUAGAGACCAAGAACACAUGAAAUCCAUAAUGUUCUUCAAGGUGCUCUAAUGGUGGAUUUCUAGGGUUUGUUCUAAACACCCUAGAAAUGGUUUGAAUGCUCCUAACUGAGCUUCUAGAUGAUAAAUAAGCUCUCUUUUGCUUGUUUUAUAGAUCAAAUCCGGAGUAUUGAGCAUAUGUCAUAUUAGGGCAUCCCAAAGAGGGGUUUUGCUCAUGUGGGGUUUUGAUCUAUUUUGACCCCUUGGAAACCUAAUUGGGGACGUAACAAACGCGUUGGCGAAGUCGGUUUAACCAUUCGUCGAGUGUACGCGAAGUUAUUGACAAAAUAGUGUUUUGUUGUACAGAUGGCCGCAACACGCGGAAUAGACGCCAAAAAUCGUGAGAUCGGAACCGGAGUACCUUGGAGUCGAGGAAUAAGCACCAGAAAAGACGGAACGCGAUUUGGAGGUCAUUUGGAAGUCGCGCAAGAGUUCGGGCCAAAGGAGGCAACUGUUGCCGCGGGAGGCCGAUUGCAAGUGACUACAAGCAAUCGGAGCGCACGUUAAGGUGGGUUAUGUUUACCGAAGCGACUAGGUCACCCUUAUGUCUAAGUAAAGUGAAUUCAUGUUGAUGCAUAUAAAUAGCGCAAGAUGGAUGCAUUGAUUAAUGCUAGAGUAUACUCAAUAAGCAUGAUAUAGAAAUAAUAAAUGCAAGCAUGUGGUUAAUGCUAAGAAUAAAGAUGAUGACGUGAUAAAAAUGCUAAGUCCAUGUAUGAUAAGCACGUGAUAGGGAUGCUAAAAUAAGAAUGCUAAGUAUAGGACAUAUCAUGUGAUGCUAGUGGCAUAUAUAUAUUAGUUGACAUUUGCAUGUGAACAUGACAUAAGGAUGUUAACUAAAUGCAUGGAAUAAUUUUAGUCAAAGGACAUGUAUAUGUGGACAUAAAAUACAUAUAGAUCGAGUGGCAUCGAACCUAGAGUCGUGAACCUAGGUUAAACAAGUAUGAAUGUGAACCUAAUGUUAGUAAACAUAGGUUGAACAAGAGAAUCAACGAACCGAGUGUCGAUAAACAUAGGUUAAAUAAGAAUGGUAUUAAACCUAGUGCUAAAGAACCUAGAAUCACAUGAACCUAGGUAAGCAAUGGUAAUGAACCUAGAGUUAAUUAAUCUAGGCCAAGAGUAUAGAAGUAAGGAACCUAAAGUAUUAACUUAGGUUCACUAAAGGCUUGGACCUAGAUAGGUCAACUCCUUAGGGUAAGACCAACCCUCGAGUUAUGUGAAAUGGAUUCCGGAAUCCCGAGGCUAAAAGAAUAUGCCGAGCGUGGCUAAAGGAUUACACCCAGAGUGGUGUUGGGUGUGUGCGACGAUUUCGCCGCCCAGGGCUAACCAUUGUCGUGGCGUGUGCGACGAUUUCGCCGCCGGAUGGUUGAGCCAGUUGAGGAUCGUACCGCCGGAUGACUCGAACCACUGCCGUGGCGUGUGCGAUGAUUUCGCCGCCGGGUGGCUGAGUCAUGACCUAGGCCAUUGUUGGGUGAGGUGCGAUUCGUUCGCCGCCAGACGGCUAGAUUAGGAGGGCGGGGGGGCUGACUGAGCAACCAGAGCGCGGAUUAUCCGCAUUUGAUUGACUCAAGACCGAGUCGGGUUGCAUAGAUGACUAAGGUAGAGAUAACCUUAGAUAUGAGUUGUCAAGGACUAUGGCAAAGAAUAAGAAUGCUAGCAAUAAUUAAGAAUGUUAAUGAAUAAAGAAUCGCCAACGGGCGUAGUGUAAAGAAUGAUAAGGAAUAAAGAGUAAAGAAUCGCCAAUGAGCGUAAUGUAAGAAAGGAUAAUGAAAUAACAAAGUGUAAAGAAUGACUUCGAGUAGAAUUAAAAUAAUCUACUUGCAUAAGUACAGGUGUUGUAUAUUGCAUUUUGGGAGGCAGGACAUCUUAGUUCAAUAUCUGUUAUAUAUCUGUUAUAUGUUAUUGGACUAACUUGUUACAGGGCCUCAUUAGACAUAUCGACCGAGUUUUUCCCUUAGGUGGCCGUACCCACUGGGAACCAUGGAGUUGGUUCUCACCCCACGUUAUUUUGGGGUGUUUACAGGUACUCACGUGAGCGGCGCGGCGGUGCGAGACAAGGGCGUAGCUCCGUAGAUAGCGUCCUACCCCAGAGACCGAGAUAGCAGUACCCGAGUUGGUGGUCUAGCUUGGGAGGUUUAAAGACAAGAACAAAUUUAUAUCAUAAACUUGUAAUAGAUUGUAAUAAACAUGUUGUAAUUUGGAAGUUAAAUGUAAACAGAAACUGUGAUGUAAAAUAUGAAUGCAAAAUGAAUGCUUGUAAUAGCAAGUAGUUAUGUAUUUGAUACUUCCUUAUGCAAUCUGGAUUGAUAUCUGUUCCUAGUUGGAACAUUCGUUGAUCGUUUGGAUUGCGACGCCUUGAAUGUAUAGGGGAGACUCUGUCCGCGUUACAGGGGAAUCCCCUGUCCAUUCGGCGGUCUGUCGUCGGCGCCACGAUCCGGUCCAAAUUGGCGGUUGAUCGCGGGGCGUGACACAUGAUAACUAGGAUAUUUGGAUAGACAAGUUACCAAUGUAAAUAAUAUGUUUAGACUCACAUCAAUUUCAUAUUAUUGUAUAAUCUAGUUGAUACUAGCAUUUUACAUUGUACAUAGAUUCCGACCUAUAGGUCGGCAGUGGACUUUCCAUGUUUGAGACACGACGAUUGAGAACUUUUGGACGGUGGAUUAUGCUUGCUUGCCAUUGUGCUCAUUCGCAUAUGCUUGUGAGGGUCGCUCUCCACAAGCCGGUACUCUCUAUGCGAUAGAUUGCUCGCCCGUGCCGGAUUGGAUGCUGAAGUGGAUUGCCGUGGGGAGUGUAUUCUACCACGAGGUCAUUAGGCGCGGCGCAAGCCGGACUACCUUAUGUAGGUCACUAUGAAUUGAAUAAAGAUACUAAAUGGUAUUGAUAUAAUUGUCACUAGUAGAUAGUGUGCAUUUAUAUGAUGACAUGACAUGUUUACUUAUGUAAAGUAGUUACUUUGCCGGUUGCCAAAUAGUUGUUGCCUCUGGGAUUGUAGUUGCAUGAUAAUUGUUUAUUAUUAUUGUUGAUACCAAAAAAUUAACACGUCGACCUAACCCACGUAUGAGCCAAAGAAAUAAGGACACGUGGUACACCAGAAGUCGGCAAUAAGAUGCCUAAAGGUCAAGAGCGUUUAGGCGGGAACGGUUGAUAAGUGGGGCAUAACUUCCAUAAGAAGUAGGGCGUAACUUCCAUGAUCAUGGCUACACCACUUCCUCCACUACUUUAACCAACCAAUAAUGUGGGCUGAUAAGAUAUUAUAAAUAGUAACUUUGAAGCCUGUAAAAGGGGUCUUUCUCUCUUCUGAACGAGAAGACCACCAUAUUUUCAAUACUUUCAUUUCCUGCAUUUAUCGUUUUCUAGGUGUAAUCUACAUGUAAUCUUUUUUACUUGCAUUUACUGCUUUCCUAGGAGUAGUUUUUAAGUUAGAUCUCUGAAGUCUGUAUGCCCCACGAGCACACUCUGUUAUAAUCUAGAUUUUCAGAAUAUGCCCUUCGGGCACACUCUGUUUUAUAUGAGUUCCCAAUUUCAUUUUAAUAUAUAAAGGCAUUUGGCUCUUUAAGCCGACCAAUCACUGUGUUUUCAUCCAUUCGACUCUUCAGCCGACCCAAAUUUCAGUGUUUUUCGUACAUUCGGCUCAUCCAACCAAACCGAAUUUGUAUUAAAGGUUUUCGAACUCGGCUGAUCCGAUCUCUCAUCAGUCGAAUCGCUUGAUCUAGUCGAAGGGUGCAAACUUUAAGGGUCACAUUUCGAAGCCGUUUUUCAUCCCUACACGUUCUUCGAGGAGGAUCUUUGACCGGGUGGAGGAUCGGGGAAUUGGGCUCCUAAUAAUUUUUUGCACGCCCGGUGGGACAACAAUUUAGGUAAAUUUAUAUUUUUAUUAAAAUUAUGGUUGAUGAUAACGCCAUGAAUUUAAACAAUAGGGUCGUUCCUAGAAAUUACGGGAGCGAUCAACCCAGCAAUUUGGAUAGUGCUGGAGAACGACAAGCGGUCUUACCUGUCGAAGGUGAGACUAGUGGUCAAUCUGACCAACAAGAGCCUAGUUUGGCUCAAGCACUUGGACAAAUGACACGGGUCCUACAAGUAUUGGACCGAAAUAGUCAAAGAAGCACUGCAUGGUUAGAUGCAGUCUUGGCCGCAAUCAUGGCCUCCAACGAGAAUAUUGCCCGAAUAGGAUAAUUAUUAACUCGUAAUGAGCAACCUAUAACAGGCUUAUAAGGGCCUGUAAUGACACUGGUGUUACAAAAUCCUGUAACACCAGCAAAUGGUUAGCUCCAUUACCAGGGGGCACCAUUUCAGGCGGCUUACAGACCGGCUGUUGUUAAUCCCGGUCAGCAGCCAGAGAUAGCUUGGAGAUUACCACCUCCUUCGCCAGUGGCAGCAUAUCAGCCCCAAAAUGUAGGGCUAGAGCUAGAGGGUAGGCUUCGAAUAUGCAAGGAGUUAACCUUGUUAUACCGAAUUUCGGUCUAUCGCAAGUACCGAAUGUAGUACAAGCACAGGUUCCUUUGCAGGGGAACAAUAAUGAAAUAUACGCACAAAUUGAAGAAGCAAUCCGAAAUACUAUCGGAGUUGGCACAAGACCGGCAAUGCGGCUUGUGUUUAGAUCAUAGUUAGUUAAUUCGGACAAUUCGAUGCGGGUAUGAUUCGGAUAAAAUUUGUUUGCUAAUUUUUAAAUUCGUUAAAAAAUAUGGCUAAAAAAUGGAUUCGUCAAUUAUUUGGAUACGUGAUUUAUACGGAAAUUAUACGUUCAUCAAUUAAAAAUUCGGGAUAAAAAAUUCGGCUAUUAAAUUAAGUUUUUUUUUUCUCUCAAGAUUUAUGUUAUUAGCAUAAAUACUCAUAUUUCUUAAGAAUAUAAGAAUAAAUAGCUACAAAAUUAAGUUAAUUACGUAAAAAAAUUGAAAAGAGUUUUUUUUUCUGUAAUUAAAUAAAGAGUUUUUUUUUUCUGUAAUUAACUUAAUUAACUUAAUUUGAAAAGCGCCCGUACCGAAUUAAUUAAUUCGGUACAGGCACUCGAGGCGCUCGAGGCGCUCGAAGCGCGCGUGGGCCUCGUGCCCCGGCCUCGCGGGCGCGCGCGGGCCUCGCAGGAGCGCGAGCAGCCCGGGAACGCACGCAGGCCGCAUUUUUUUGGCUCCGAAUAAUUCGGCCCGCGUAUAAUACGCGAAUAAGUCUUUUUUUACCAAGAAAACACAUUUUUUUCUGAAUUUUUGGGAAAAAUAUGAAUUCGGUCGUUUAAUUCGUUUAUUUAAAAAUUCGAGAAUAAUUCAUGAAUAAUUUGCAAAUUUACUAACAUAGGUUUAGAUCUCCUUAUCCCGCGAACAUCGACGUAGAGCAUCCGUAUCCGGCAAACUGGAAAAAGCCGAAGUUCGACAAGUUCUCGGGCGAUGAGACCGAGAAUAUGGUCGAGCAUAUAGCCUGGUUCACGGCCUAAUGUAGAGAAGCGGCCGCUGACUCAUUUUUGAAACUUCGAUUAUUUAACAUAUCAUUAACUAAAACGGCGUUUACUUGGUAUACAAGUUUAUUAGCCAAUGCCAUCCAAGAUUGGGACGAAUUGGAAAGAAAAUUUCAUGAACAAUUCUAUAAGUCGGAGCGACAAUUAUCGGUUGCCAACUUGGCUUUAUACCGACAAAAGUCAGGUGAAACGGUAGAAGAGUAUUUGAACCGUUUCAAAAUAGCCAAGACCCGGUGCUUUGUGAGAAUGCCGGAAUUAGUGUUCGCCAAAAUAGCGUUAAAUGGUCUACAUUUUAAGAUAAAAGACCAUUUUGAAAAUAAGUAUUUUUCUAACCUAUUUGAUCUAGGUGUUCAAGUUGCCCAAUAUGAGCAAUUUCGAAAGGAAAGUGAGGACAAUCGGCUGCAAUGGAGCCAAUAUAAAAAGCAAAGGAAAGGUAAAGAGAAAUUCUUGAUAGAAGAACAGUCGGUUCAAGAAGAGCCGAGCCAAUUGAGUGAAAGUAAAGAAUCGGCUGAUGAAGUUGAGGUACAUUUUGCUGGUAAAGAGCCACUUUCUUCAAAGAGAAAUCCUUGAUAGAAGAACAGAUGGUUCAAGAAGAGCCGAGCAAAUAGAGUAAAAGCAAAGAAUCGGUUUAUGAAGCCGAGGCAUAUACGGCUAGGAUGGUAAAGAGUCGCUUCCUUUAAGCCGACCAAGAGUAGCGAAAUUAAGAUCGGGUCAUGGCUGUGUCAUUGAGUCGUUGAUUUGGCACCAAUAGUCAUUCGAACGUUCAUUCGAGAGACUAUUGGGAGGGCAUUGUUGAUACAAAAAAAUUAACACACCGAUAUAACCCAUGUAUGAGCCAAAGAAAUAAGGACACGUGGUACAUCAGGAGUCAGCAAUAAGACGCCUGAAGAUCAAGAGCGUUUAGGCGGGAAUGGUUGAGAAAUGGGGCAUUACUUUCAUGAUCAUGGCUACACCACUUCCCCCACUACUUUAACCAACCAAUAAUGUGGGUUGAUAAGAUAUUAUAAAUAGUAACUUUGAAGCCUGUAAAAGGGGUCUUUCUCUCCCCUGAACGAGAAGACUACAACAUUUUCAAUAUUUUUCUUUCCUGUAUUUAUUAUUUUCUAGGAGUAAUCUACAGGUAAUCAUUUUUACCCGCAUUUACUGCUUUCCUAGGAGUAGUCUUUAAGUUAGAUCUCUGGAGUCUAUAUGCCCCACGGGCACACUCCGUUGUAAUCUAGAUUUUCAGAGUCUGUAUGCCCUUCGGGCAUACUCUAUUUUGUAUGAGUUCCCAAUUUUAUUUUAAUAUAUAAAGGCAUUUGGCUCUUUAAGCCAACCAAUCACUGUGUUUUCAUCCAUUUGGCUCUUCAGCCGACCCAAAUUUCAGUGUUUUUCGAACAUUCGGCUCAUCCAGCCGAAUCGAAUUUGUAUUAAAGGUUUUCGAACUCAGCUGAUCCAAUCCCCUCAUCAGCCGAAUCGCUUGAUCCAGUCGAAGGGCGCAACUUCGAGGGUCACUUUUCGAAGCCGUUUUUCAUCCCUACACGUUCUUCGAAGAGGAUCUUUGACCGGAUCAAGAAUCGGGGAAUUCGGCUCCUAACAAUUAUCAUUGUUAUUUCCAUCAUGUAGUAGUUGUACUUACUUUCCUUUUUACUUAUUAUGAACCUAGUGGUGUAAUUUGCUGAGAUUGGCGGCUUAUCCACUAGAAACUAUUGUUCAAUAGUUCUCACACCCUCUUUGUUGUUGCUUUUAUAGAGCGAUCCAUUACGGGAGAGACUAGGGAUUGCGGCAAAGGAGUCGCGUCUAGCUAGACGUACCUUGGAGUUCUGCUAGGUGAUCAUCUCGCUGUGUUUGAGUUACUGACGAGGAUGAUGUUCUACCUGUGUAUAGAGAAGACUACUACUUGUAUAUGUAGUUGUUUUGGUGACCCUGAGAUGUAUAUUUGUGAUUAGAGAGUUGUACUUUAUCAUUGUUACCUUUGUUUUCUGAUUACUUUGGUGAAGUUGUACUUGUUUUACUCUAAUUUUUAGUACACUUUGUACAUUCUAUGCUUUGAUACUAUGUUAGAUUUUUGUUGAUUGGUAUUUUCUAGCAUAGUUCUAGUAGACGCCUUGUAUACUGUAGGUAUAUGGCGGGUCUGCCCAUGUUUCGGGUAUGCUUCCGCUGACACCGGGGCAUGAAACGUCGGCGGAUGCCUACUGCUCGACUGCCCUCCAUCAUCUGGAGUCGGGCGCUUCCUAUCCUGACUCCGCCUCGGCACCUGAGCCCGCUCACAAACCGAUACAUCUCCUCUCUCCAUCCACAACGCCUGCUCAAUCGACGCAUCCAAAGUUCUCAACCUCUGCGCCUACACCAACCGGAAGAUCUCUGGCCUCAAGCCCUCUUCAUACAGAUACACUUUGUGGGCUUCAUCCCUGGCUACAAACGGUACACAGUUCAGAAGCUGAGUAAACCACGAGUGUACUCCUGAACUGAUCGCUCCCCCUGUUGUAGCUUCUUCAGGUCCUCCUCGAGUUUUUGCUUUACACUGUUUGGAAAAUAGGCCCCGUACAGCAAUCCACAAAACUUGUCCCACUUCAUUUGUAGCACAACCAGCCCUCGAGUCUACCUUAUUCUCCUCCACCAGGAGUGCGUAUCACCUGCCAAACAGUGCACUCCCGGGUGUACCUGCUCCCGCUCUGGUACGAACAAGUCCUCGAAUAACUUUCUCAUCGCACUCACCCAGCCCUCUACAACCCAGGGCUCCGUGCAAUUGCAAUCAAAGCGCGGUAAAUCAAACCGACGAAAACGAGCCAGCAUCUCCAGAGAAUGUAACUAGCGCCAUAAGAACUGUCACUGAUGGGGGUACAGCUGUGGCUGGUACGGCCACUGGAGUAGUCGGCGGCGGUGCCGGCUGCUCUGGUGCUCUAUGCGCUGUGUUCGGCGGUGGAGUAAAUGUUUCACACAUCCUCUGUAAUAGGGCCCCCUAUUGCCUGGUCGCCUCAGUCAAGACAGCUAACUGCUCUAUCAGAUCAGAGGGUGCACUCGGCCCUGCUUGCUCAGGCAUCUCAGAUGGCGCGACACGAUCCCGUGUCGACGGUCGACCUCGGCGUCGAUACAUGAUUACCUGAAAUUAAAACAAGGGUCAGAUACAAAACACAAUCACUCUCGACCCAAUCAAGCGAAAGUCUAGAAGGUCACCCCUAUUUCUCCUCAAAAUUAUGCUAUCUGCAGCCAACAUAUUUCUCUUGACAAAAACAGACACUCCUUCAGUCACUCACUUCACUCUAGGAGGAGUUAAAAUAAUUUAAUCGCUGACUUUCGUAAUAAAUCAAGCCUCUCACCUCUUGCCUUCCUAAGAUUUUCCAAACUUAAGGUUUUCUACGUCCCAACGACCUAAUACUAAGCUCUGAUACUAACUUAAUCUCUCACACCCCGGAUUACCAUGUUUUUUCGAGCAAACCAGAAGACCCGCCGUAUACAUAGAAAUUUUUUCUGUAUACGAAACGAUAGCUGUACCUAUAAAUAAAGCCAAGCUACAACCAAGAGAUAAGAGUUGCUAAACUAAAAAUAUAUAAGUAUAAAACCUCAAGAGGUUCCAGUACAUACAAAAAUCUACAACCCAACUCGCUCCAGCGAGUACCACGACAACAUCACCAUAUGUAUAAAGAAAGCCCAAAACUACCUCUGGAUAGGUGCUCCUCUAGCUAAACUAACAGAGGGAUGGCCCUAACUCGCAACUCCUCUGCCACGAUCAGAAACAGCGUCAGUAGUAGCCACGAAUGAAGGCUCUGCAAAAAAGGUCAACAACUGGGUGUGAGAACUACUACAAAAUAGAGUAGUCCUCAGUGGGUACCGUCAUCGAUCUCAACGGCUCACCUACUGAGUCUACAGAAAAGUGCGUAAGAGAUAGUAAGAAAAGCUGAAAACCCAGCAGGCUAACCAAUACUGGCUAUCUGUAGAUGUAACAAAAAUGCAACCUCUGACCCAAACUUACUAGGGACUGUGAACGCACCUAUCCCACCUAUCGAAACUACACCGCGUACCACCUCGGGGGCUACCGGUGGAGAGCAAAGUCCUAACCGAACAUUACAACAUCAAUGCAAAAGCAUGUAGCCAAACUCCGGAGCGGCACUCGUGGGCGCGACCCAACCGAGUAUACAAGCAUGUCUCUAUUAAGCUCAAUCAAGCUCUCACAGGCUAUAAUCAAUGCAAAUUGGUCUAACUGUCUAACAACCAAAUCUCACGUGCCCUUAGCACAAUCUGAGGCAAAACACAGAAAUCUGGUUCCACUGUCAACCGCGACGGCACCCGACAGUCCUAAACAAUCUACACACUACUGUAAAAUAAACUCGGCAUCCCAGCACGAGUGUAAACUCAUCCUAUACUAGCUCUUAAAGCUAAAUCUGAUAAUUUUCUGAAAGUGACAGUGUAGAACUUAUAUAUUUUCUCCCAAGUCAAUUCUAAGUCCAACAUGGAAAAUUAUAAUUCUAUCUUAACUCCAAAUUCAGAUUUUAUACUCUAAUCCCUGAAUUCGAGUACUAGCAAGGAAAUAAAGCAAUGAUACAUGUCGACAAUGCUAAAACUUAAGAGGAAUUCUGACGAUUUCGGUAAACAUUAACCCACCUCGAAACGCUAGUCUAACUAUGGCGAGAAGUCCUAAGAAGGGGAAACACGUGCUCACCCGGUCUCCAACGACGCAACCGCGACACCCACGUGCUCGAACAACCCUCCGGAUCGAUCCACGACCUAGACAACGCACGAAUCCACCAGUUAGAGAGAAAGGAAAAGGAGAAGAAGAACCAGCUCCUAAGCUCUCUCUGUCAAUAUAUAGGCUGGGAAAAACAUACGGUUGAUCGACACAUCAAACAACCAAAAUGCCCUCUACCUAUUCAAAAAUCCAGCUGGAGUACCGGUAUCCAAUUUGGUUACCGGUACUCGGCCUCUCAACCCGCAAGCUCGCAUAUAGGAUACCGGUACUGGCUCGAUGCCGUACCAGUACUCAAAAUCAGAUUGACGCAACCCGAGAGCAUUCUGUUAUGGAAUUAUAGUAGGGUACCGGUACUCUCCUGCCUGGUAUAUGUACUCAUCACUAAUAUCCUGCACUUUGCGGAUUUCAGCGUCAGAACUCCACUCUCGCCUCGCGUCGAGUCCAUUUUGCGACCAAUUCGCACCAAAAUGAUUUCGACUUGUCCCGACACUCUCCAGAUGUGUCGAUAAGCCCCAGAUGCUGAAAUCUCACUAGCAACCAAACACUAGGGAUACUACAAGUUUUAAACAAUUAUAGAUCCUAUUUGUUUUAGGCAUCUCCAAUACUUAGAUCUUACAAUCCCUCAAGUUUCUAGAAUUAAACCCUUUUAGGAUAUCAGAAUAGCAAGAUAAAUUGUAACUUUAAUAGCACACUUCAUAAUAUACAUAUUGAUCAUAAACAGUAAAAUGUCAUAGUUGAUCUUGUAAAAAAGGGUUUGUUGGGUGGUUGGCAUAAUAUCACGAUCUAAAGAGUAGAAUUGAUAAAUAAUAAUAAUAAUAAUAAUAAUAAUAAUAUAUUUUUUUGAACGGAUUAGACGGAUUUGAGAUUUUCAAGAAAUAUGGCAAAUCAAGUUUUUAUUCUAUUAGAAUGAAUAUCCUAUUUGUCUUUAAUUUUAUUAAAAGAUAAAUCUAGUACAAUUAAUCAAUUAAUUAAUUAAUAUUUUUUAUUUAAUUUAUCCUAUUGAUUAAUUAAUAAAUAAAUCAUUCACUAUAUAAAUGAAUUAUUUAAUUAACCAUAUUAAAUUUUAUAAUUAAUCCUAUCAAAAGCCAAUAUCUAUGCUAGUUCAAAAGGUGGUAAUCUAGAGGAAAAAUNAGAAAAUUAUUUUAAUUUCUGUUUAUCCUAUAAGUAAGAUUAUCUUAUUUUUGAACUAAACGGUAUAAAGAACUUUUAGAGUUUAGGCAGAUUAGGCAAGUUUUUUUAUAUAAUAAUAAUAAUAAUAAUAAUAAUAAUAAUAAUAAGGGCAAUUGCUUAUAUACCCCUAACAAGUUUUCGCCUUUCUAAUUAUCCCACUUAGAAAGCUAAUAUAUUGAAAAUAUCCUUUUUUUUCAUUUCAACCUAUUUCAAAUAUACUUCUAGAGUUAAAUUCUGUUAAUAAAAGCUUAUCUGUAUGAAAAUUUCCUUUCAAAUAUACCCUUCUAUCAUCACCGACUUUUGCUUAUUUGCUCUUAAGUUAGGGACACAAAAAUUAUUAGAAUUUUUGGUCUUUUCAAAUUAGUAUGCCCUACUAUAAUGUAGCACACUGGACCUUUACAAAUUACGAGGUUCGAGUGUUUGAUAUGUAUUCCGAACUUUUCCACACUUGGUGGAAGGUCGUAGAUGGUAUUUCGGCCUAAAAGUUCGAUCUCUAGAGUUUUGGCAAGUCCUGAGAGUUUUCACUCUCGGGGACCGGUCCCUGAUAUGAGAGAUCGGUCAUCUCAGAACAGUGCUGCGGCAGGACUUGAGGCAACCGGUCCCUAGCAGGUGAGACCGGUCCCCGAGUGCGAUUACGCGGGGAGAGACCGGUCCCAUGCGGGGAGAGACCGGUUCCCAAACGUUGGAUUUUCGGGGCAGGCUGAGAGACCGGUCCCAGGUCGGGGAGACCGGUCCCUUAGUUCGAAAACUGCCCAGACCCGGGCAGUGCACAGGGUGGUUUUUUUAGGGGCUUAUAUAGAUUUUGUUGCUUCUAUGGGCCUUAAGGCCAUUUCCACUCUCUUACUCCCUCAUUUCUCUCCCACACUUUCACUCUAAAGAGAGAAGAAGAAUGAGAAGAAGGAGAAGGAGUUGGAGGAGAGCAAGAUCUUGAGGCUUUGGGGCAUCUUCCUCUUCCUUUACUCACCUUUGGAGGCUUGGAGCUUGGGCUAGGAGCUUGUUAGAGGAUCAAUCUUCAACCCUAGAAGAUUUGGAGCUUGUUUUGGGGCAUCUAGAAAGGUUAGUACCUUGAUUCUAGCCUUUGAUCCAUGUUUUGGUAGGUUUUACCAUAUGAAACCCUAGAAAUGAGAUUUACGGUUUAUUUUGGAGAUUUUUAAUUUGAGGGCUUAGAGACCUAAUUGAUGGGUUUAGAACCUUCCUCUAGGUUGAAUUGGAAGGGUUCUUGCUCUCUUUGGAAGCUUGAGAAGGGAUUUCAUCACAAGAGGUGAGUUAUGCCCUUUAUGCUUAGAUGAUUUAAGAUUGAGCUUUUCGAUGUUCGUUUCGAUUGUGUAACUCUUGUUCCUACAUCUUUAGGGUACUAGGAGACUAGUGGACACCUCCGUUCAGCGAAACGAAGAGUUUCGAUUUUCGGUGGAUUUGGCUUCAUGAAAACGGGGCGAAAUAGCCCCCGUGUUUUCUAUACUUGUCGUAAUGUCAUUUUAAAUGCAACUCUAUGCUUAAAGGAAUUUAUGUGAAUUUUAGAACACUUAAAAUGCAUGUGUUAUGUAUAAGAAAAUUUGCACUCUAUAUAGUAGAGGAUUCUGGGUAUUGUUACAUGCAUUUGGGUAGUGUUCGCAUUAGUCGUUUGAAAACAUGCUUCAUAUGUUUAAAGUGGCUCAAUUAUGCAUUUGUGAACACUUGUGUUAAGCUUGGACUUAGUAAAUGAAAGUGUCAUAAAGGGGCAUUUAGACUAGCACACUAUAAGACUAUUGUUUUGAGACUUAGAGAUAGACCAUGGACAUCUACUACUUUCUAUGUUUUAGAUAUGAUGACAUAGAGAUAGGCCUAUAAGAGAGUUGUGACAUAUUCCAUAUUGUUAGACAUAAGGACUUAGUACUUGAGACGGAUCUUUUGUUACUUACCAUUGUGCUCAUUCGCACAUGCUUGUGAGGGUCGCUCUCUACAAGCCGGCACUCCGGAAAUGGCCAUCGCGAUACAUAUUCGCUGUGCGGGAUUGGGCGCCGAAGUGGAUUGCCGUGGGAAAGGCUCAUUCCUAGAGUGGGAAUGUUGACUACCACGGGGCCAUUAAGCUCGGCACCGGCCAGACAGUCUACGGGUGGGUCUCAGGGCCAGACAGUCUUCGGGCGGGUCUCUUCAGAUUUGAUUUUGAGCAUUCAUCAUGCCAUGUGGACAUUGAUUAGAAUAGUAAACAAUGACAUCUUUGCUAUUUGACUUAUGGAUAUCAUACUAGCGAUACUUGGGUACAUUCUUAUGAGAAUAGCUUUUCUUACUUAUGCUAAAUCCUGCUAAGUAGAGAUAUCAUGUGGUAGCAAAUAUUCAUACUUAUUUACUUGUCAUACAUACCGUUUUGUUUAUAUCUGCUUACUGACCCCUUUUUAGUUUGGGCCUAGUGGUGCAAUUCACUAAAGCCAGUAAUUGCCCACUGGGAACUAUUAUUCAAUAGUUCUCACGCCCCCUGUUUUAUGGUUUUAUUCAGAGCCUUCGGCACCAGCGGAGGCACGGGAUCGCGGCGGGAGUCGCGUAGCUAGUUAGUAGGGAGCUACUUUUGAGCUUAGGUGGUUUACUCUUUCUUUUAUUGUAUUAGAGAGAGAGAGAGAUUUUGAGUACCAUAUAUAGAGAGACCACCUAUAUACUCUUUAUGUUUAGUUUUUGUAUUUGGGAUUUCCUUUGUACUACUUUAUGGCUUUAUUAGUGGAUUUCAGUUUUAUAUUUACCCCUUUGUGUAGAGCUUAGUUAUUUACUUUGCUCUGAUAUCGUUAGAUUCCUUUGUUCUACUGCUUUAUUUAUCGUUUUGUUUUAGACGCCUUGUAUGUUUUAGACAUAUGGCGGGUCUGGGCACGCCCCGGGCAGGCUUCCACUAGGUCCCGGGGCGUGACAGAUUAGUUUGGUAUCAGAGCCUAGGGUUGAGUCUUAGUGGACCUAGCAAACCUUAGGCCGGUUGGACUAUAGAAAAUAGGCUCGUGAGAGACGAGGUCUAUUUGAUUUGUAAGCGAAAGUAUCGUGAUUGGAUAUCUUGAUAACUCUAGAACGUGGAGUUAAAUCGAAGUGUAUAGCUCCUAAUUUCGCGGAGGGUUACGUUGGCGGCCGACAAUAUAACAUCGGAAGUUAGUAGUGAAGCACACUUCAUUACUUUCGCAUGAUUUGGGGCAUUACCUUCUUGAGUGGGGAUUCGAUGGCGUGAGUUUACUAACUUACGCUUUUAUGAUAUUGUAGUGUGAUACCGAUUACACGCUCCCAAUCUGCCGUAGCGGAUAACACGACAAAUCUGGAGGAGGUCGAGAACUCCGCUACCUCUGGAUCCGGCGAGGUCCAAGAGUUGAGGGGCCAGCUUGCGACCUUCACUGAUAUGGUGGCACAGCAGACUGAGGCGGCGCGCCGACAGGAGGCGCGUAUGAAGCGCCUGGAGGAUCUUCCGUUACAGCAGGCGGCGGCUUCUAGGGAGAUUCAGGCCCCUACACCGCCAGCACCAGUCGUGGACGUCGCGCCGAAAGUGCCAUUCCCGCGCCCAGUUCUUCGCGAGCAGCGCUCGCAGCCACGCCUUAGAAGGAGGCUAUUGCAGCACCACCUAUGCAGAGGCCUCCGGUUGGAGCAGCUUUUCCUAUCUUGGUCGAGGGAGCGGAAAGGGACAGACUGAUGGAACGCCUCAACGAGUUUAGGAGGUGCAGUCCUUGGAUCUUCGAUGGCGAGAAGGUCGACCACUGGAUCGUGGAGAAGUGGUUGAUGCAUAUGGAGAAGCUUUUCCACGACACCUUCCUGGAGAAGAGAGAUCGAGUUUGGCUCGCCACACACCAUUUGGACGGCGAGGCCUACCGCUGGUGGAUGGAUCUCUAGGAGAACCACAGCAUUGAUUUGGCGGCUAUUACUUGGAAGAGGUUCAAGAAGCUUCUUUUGGCAUACUACUUUCCGACCAGCGUCAAGAGGAAGAUGGAGCAGGAUCUACGCAACUUGCGCCAAGGUGAUCGGACUGUGGCCGAGUACGAGCAGGAGUUUUCUCGGCUUCUUCACUGCGUGCCUUUCGUCGUGCGAGACGACGAGGACAAGGCCCGCAUCUUCGAGUGAGGGUUGCGACCGUCGAUCUUCUGGUUUGUGCAAUCCUCUAACCUCCAAACCUACCGGGAGGUGGUGGAUCGCGCGCUCAUAGUGGAAAGCGGCGCGGCAGACGUCCAGGAGCGACGAGAGGUGAUGGACAAAGGUAAGGCCAAGAGGCCUGCGGCAGAGAGUGCGAACCAGACGCACUCUAGGAGGUUGCCGAAGCAUCCUAGGAGCCAGCAGCGUGGACGCGGCUCAGUAGCACAGCGAGGAGGUUCUGACCGUCGCCGGCAUUCCCCGUGUGUGAUCUGCGGUGGUCCUCAUUUCCCAUCGCAGUGUCCACAGCGGGUGGGAAGGUGCUUCCAGUGUGGCCAGGAGGACCACGUUCGGACAGAGUGCCCGAGAGUUCUUCACCGGCACCGUCGAUUGUAUCGGCACCGGCUCUACCAGCCGUCAGCCACGGGACUCCAUCGACACAGUACCAGCCUGGGCGGCCACCCGUCUAGCGCCAGAGCGAGGGAUCUCGACAGGCCCCGAGUGGGCAUUUGUAUGCCGCUCAGACCGAGGAGGCGGCAGCAGCCGAGGAUGUGGUUGCAGGUAUCAUUUUACUUGAUGGCAUUAGAGUUCGUGCUUUAUUUGAUACCGGUGCAUCACAUUCAUUUAUAAAUCGGCUGUUUGUCGAGUUGCAUGGCAUCCCUUUGGUUUUCUUGUUGCAUCCGAGACAUGUUGUAGUACCCGACCACACUCUGGAUAUUAGAGAGUAUUGCCCUGGUUGCCCUAUUCGGGUAGGAGAUUGGAUCAUGCCCGUAGAUUUGCUAGCCCUGCGCAAGCUAGGAAAUUUCGAUGUGGUCUUGGGUAUGGAUUGGCUAACCAAGUAUUAUGCCACGAUUGAUUAUAAGAAUCGCACGGUUACUUUUAGAGAACCGGGGUAGACUGAGGUUGUGUUUAGUGAAUGCCGGAGUUCGCUUUUUGUGAUGUCGAUCAGCUCGUCUCGAGCUAGGCAGCUGAUCAGCCGAGGAUGUGUAGCUUACUUGGCUAGUGUUGUGUUGAGGGGCGAGGAUGACAACCCUAGGAUUGAGGAUAUCCCGGUGGUAUGGGAGUUUUAGGACAUGUUUCCACCUGAGCUUCUGGGUAUGCCACCCGAUAUGGAGAUCGAGUUUGUGGUAGAUCUCGUCCCUGGGACUACUCCAAUCUCGAAGGCACCCUAUAGGAUGGCACCGGCGGAGCUGAAGGAGCUAAGGGCACAGCUACAGGAUCUGUUAGACAAGGGCUUCAUUCGACCGAGCGUCUCGCCGUGGGGAGCGCCAGUUCUAUUCGUCAAGAAAAAGGACGGAUCACUUCGCCUAUGUGUGUACUAUCGUGAACUCAAUAAAGUCACGAUCAAGAAUAAGUAUCCGUUGCCGAGGAUCGACGACUUGUUUGAUCAGUUUCAAGGAUCGUGUGUGUAUUCUAAGAUAGACUUGCAGUCGGAAUACCACCAGUUAAAGAUCAAACCCGAGGAUGUAUCGAAGACGGCUUUUAGAACACGGUAUGGACACUAUGAGUUCACAGUUAUGCCAUUUGGGCUUACUAAUAUCCCGACAGCUUUUAUGGAUCUGAUGAACCGUGUUUUUAAGCCUUAUCUAGACAGGUUCGUCGUGGUAUUCAUCGACGAUAUUUUGGUUUAUUCCCGAAGUGAUGCGGAUCACGAGGAGCAUUUGAGGCUAGUACUUCAAUUACUUCUGGAAAAGGAGCUUUACGCCAAGCUGAAAAAGUGUGAAUUUUGGCUUCGAGAGGUAGCCUUUCUUGGACAUUUGAUGUCGAGAUCGGGUAUAGCCGUGGAUCCUAAGAAGAUUGAGGCUAUCAAGGAUUGGCCGAGACCGACGAGCGUUACGGAGAUUUGGAGUUUCCUUGGAUUGGCCGGUUACUACCGGAGAUUUGUUGAGGGGUUCGCUAAGCUAUCUACUCCCCUCACGAGGCUCAUGCAUAAAGGUGUCAAGUUCAUCUGGAAUGAUGCGUGUGAGAGAAGCUUCCAAGAGCUGAAACAACGNGCUAAGCUAUCUACUCCCCUCACGAGGCUCACGCAUAAAGGUGUUAAGUUUAUUUGGAAUGAUGCGUGCGAGCGAAGCUUCCAAGAGUUGAAGCAACGAUUGACUACCGCCCCGAUCUUGACCCUACCAGUAGCUGGAGCAGGGUAUGUGGUUUAUAGCGAUACAUCUCUUAAUGGAUUGGGCUGUGUUUUGAUGCAUGAUGGCAAGGUGAUCGCGUAUGCUUCUCACCAACUGAAUGAAUAUGAAAAAAAUUACCCUACACAUGAUUUGGAGUUGGCGGCCGUAGUUUUCGCAUUGAAGUUAUGGCGCCAUUACUUAUAUGGCGAGCGAUGUGAAGUAUACACGGAUCACAAGAGCUUGAAGUAUUUGUUCACUCAGAAGGAGUUGAACUUGAGACAACGCAGAUGGUUGGAGCUGCUCAAGGAUUAUGAUUUGACGAUUCUUUACCACCCGGGCAAGGCUAACAUGGUGGCGGAUGCGUUAAGGAGGAAAUCUACUGAAAACUUAGCGAUGCAUGUUGUUACUCAACAGCAGUUGAUCGAGCAGACGAAGCGGUUGGAGUUGGAGGUAGUGACUCCUGACACACCUUUGAGAUUGAUGACCUUGGUAGCGCAACCUAUACUCUUAGAUAGAAUUAAAGAGAAGCAAGCUUCCAAUGUGGAGUUGCAAAGGAUUAAAGGUAAAAUGGUUGAUGGUUGCACCGCCGACUACCUCGUGGAUGACCAAGGAUUGAUGCGUUUCUGUGGACGGAUUUGUGUACCGGGGGAUUCGGAAAUUAAAGAGGAUAUUCUUCAAGAAGCGCACCGAGCGCCCUAUGCUAUACAUUCGGGAGGCACCGAGAUGUACAAGGACUUGAAGUUGCUUUAUUGGUGGCUUGGGAUGAAAAAGGACGUUAGCGAGUUUGUAGCUCGUUGUCUAACUUGCCAACAAGUAAAGGCUGAGCAUCGAUUACCCACGAAAAAAUUUCAGAAUUUGCCUAUUCCAGUGUGGAAGUGGGAAAAGAUCACCAUAGAUUUCGUGACUGGAUUGCCCCGCUCUCAGGCCGGGCAUGAUGCUAUUUGGGUGAUCGUGGAUAGGUUGACGAAGUCGGCGCACUUCAUACUUAUUCGUACUAGUUGGACCGAAGAGAAGCUCGCACAAGUGUACCUUGAUGAGAUUGUGCGACUUCACGGAGUACUUACAUCGAUAGUAUCGGAUCGAGACACUCGGUUUGUGUCUCACUUUUGGAGGAGUCUACAGGACGCCUUGGGCACCCGACUCGACUUCAGCACUGCUUUCCACUCUCAGAGUGAUGGGCAGUCGGAACGCACCAUUCAGACUUUAGAGGAUAUGUUCCGAGCGUAUGUGAUAGACUUCUAGGGAGGAUGGUCGCAGUAUCUACCUAUGGCAGAGUUUGCUUAUAACAACAGUUAUCAAGCAAGCAUCAAGAUGGCGCCGUUUGAAGCACUUUAUGGACGGAAGUGUAGAUCGCCACUUCAUUGGAGUGAAGUUGGCGAGAGAUUGGCUUUAGGUCCUGAUGUGCUCCAGGAAGCUGAGGACAAAGUUCGAAUUGCUCGGGAGCGACUUUUGACGGCACAGAGUUGACAGAGGAGCUACGUCGAUCAACAACAGCGAGACUUGGAGUUCCAAGUAGGAUACCAUGUUGUCUUGAAGUUCUCGCCGACUAGAGGGAUCAAGAGAUUCGGGAUUCAGGGUAAGUUGAGCCCCCGUUUCAUUGGACCGUAUGAGAUUUUGGAAUGGGUAGUUACGGUAGAGUAUCGACUUGCUCUACCACCGAACUUAUCGGGCGUGCACAACGUCUUUCAUGUAUCGGUCCUUCGGAAGUAUGUCUUCGACCUGAAUCAUGUGUUGGAUGCUACACCUGUGGAGUUGUGGGAUGAUUUGAGCUUCGAGGAGCAGCCCGUGAAGAUCUUGACUCGCGAGGUGCGGAAACUGCUGAAUCGGGAUAUUCCGUACGUGAAGGUUCUUUGGAGCAACCACGGGAAGCGGGAGGCCACGUAGGAGCUAGAGAGCGCGCUGCGGGAACGCUAUCCUCAUCUUUUUCAGAUGGAGCUUUGAGGUAUGUUGUCGUUUUGAAUUUCGCGGACGAAACACCUUUUUAGGAGGGGUGAAUGUAGCACACUGGACCUUGCAAAUUGCGAGGUUCGAGUGUUUGAUAUGUAUUCCGAACUUUUCCAUACUUGGUGGAAGGUCGUAGAUGGUAUUCCGGCCUAAAAGUUUGAUCUCUAGAGUUUUAGCAAGUCCUGAGAGUUUUCAUUCUCGGGGACCGGUUCCUGAUAUGAGAGAGUGGUCCCCUCAGAACAGUGCUGCGGCAGGACUUGAGGCAACCGGUCCCUAGCGGGUUAGACCGGUCCCCGAGUGCGAUUACGCGGGAAGAGACCGGUCCCAUGCGGGGAGAGACCGGUUCCCGAACGUUGGAUUUUCGGGGCAGGCUGAGAGACCGGUCCCAAGUCAGGGAGACCAGUCCCUCAGUCCGAAAACUGCCCAGACCCGGGCAGUGCACAGGGUGGUUUUUUUAGGGGCUUAUAUAGAUUUUGUUGCUUCUAUGGGCCUUAAGGCCAUUUCUACUCUCUCACUUCCUCAUUUCUCUCCCUCACUUUCACUCUAGAGAGAGAAGAAGAAGGAGAAGAAGGAGGAGGAGUUGGAGGAGAGCAAGAUCUUGAGGCUUUGGGGCAUCUUCCUCUUCCUUUACUCACCUUUGGAGGCUUGGAGCUUGGGCUAGGAGCUUGUUAGAGGAUCAAUCUUCAACUCUAGAAGAUUUGGAGCUUGUUUUGGGGCAUCUAGAGAGAUUAGUACCUUAAUUCUAGCCUUUGAUCCAUGUUUUGGUAGGUUUUACCAUAUGAAACCCUAGAAAUGAGAUUUAGGAUUUAUUUUGGAGAUUUUUGAUUUGAGGGCUUGGAGACCUAAUUGAUGGAUUUAGAACCUUCCUCUAGGUUGGGUUGAAAGGGUUAUUGCUCUCUUUGGAAGCUUGAGAAGGGAUUUCAUCACAAGAGGUGAGUUAUGCCCUUUAUGCUUAGAUGAUUUAAGGUUGAGCUUUUCGAUGUUCAUUUCGAUUGUGUAACUCUUCUUCCUACAUCUUUAGAGUGCUAGGAGACUAAUGGACACCUCCGUUCGGCGAAACGAAGAGUUUCGAUUUUCGGUGGAUUUGGCUUCAUAAAAACGGGGCGAAAUAGCCCCCGUGUUUUCUAUACUUGUCGUAACGUCAUUUUAAAUGCAACUCUAUGCUUAAUGAAAUUUAUGUGAAUUUUAGAACACUUAAAAUGCAUGUGUUAUGUAUAAGAAAAUUUGCACUCUAUAUAGUAGAGCAUCCUGGGUAUUGUUACAUGCAUUUGGAUAGUGUUCGCAUUAGUCAUUUGGAAACAUACUUCAUAUGUUUAAAGUGGCUCAAUUAUGCAUUUGUGAGCACUUGGGUUAAGCUUGGACUUAGUAAAUGAAAGUGUUAUAAAGGGGCACUUAGACUAGCACACAAUAAGACUAUUAUUUUGAGACUUAGAGAUAGGCCAUGGACAUCUACUACUUUCCAUAUUUUAGACAUGAUGACAUAGAGAUAGGCUUAUGAGAGAGUUGUGACAUAUUCCAUGUUGUUAGACAUGAGGACUUAGUACUUAAGACGGAUCUUUCGUUACUUGCCAUUGUGCUCAUUCGCACAUGCUUGUGAGGGUCGCUCUUUACAAGCCGGCACUCCGGAGAUGGCCAUCGCGAUACAUAUUCGCCGUACGGGAUUGGGCGCCGAAGUGGAUUGUCGUGGGAAAGGCUCAUUCCUAGAGUGGGAAUGUUGACUACCACGAGGCCAUUAAGCUCGGUACCGGCCAGACAGUCUACGGGUGGGUCUCAGGGCCAGACAGUCUUCGGGCGGGUUUCUUCAGAUUUGAUUUUGAGCAUUCAUCAUGCCAUGUGGACAUUGAUUAGAAUAGUAAACAAUGACAUCUUUGCUAUUUGACUUAUGGAUAUCAUACUAGCGAUGCUUGGGUACAUUCUUAUGAGAAUAGCUUUUCUUACUUAUGCUAAAUCCUGCUAAGUAGAGAUAUCAUGUGGUAGCAAAUAUUCAUACUUAUUUACUUGUCGUACAUAUCGUUUUGUUUAUAUCUGCUUACUGACCCCUUUUUAGUUUGGGCCUAGUGGUGCAUUUCACUAAAGCCAGCUAUUGCCCACUGGGAACUAUUAUUCAAUAGUUCUCACGCCCCCUAUUUUAUGGUUUUAUUUCAGAGCCUUCGGUACCGGCGGAGGCACGGGAUCGCGGCAAGGGAGUCGCGUAGCUAGUUAGUAGGGAGCUACUUUUGAGCUUAGGUGGUUUACUCUUUCUUUUAUUGUAUUAGAGAGAGAGAGAGAUUUUGAGUACCAUAUAUAGAGAGACCACCUAUAUACUCUUUAUGUCUAGUUUUUGUAUUUGUGAUUUCCUUUAUACUACUUUAUGGCUUUAUUAGUGGAUUUCAGUUUUAUACUUACCCCUCUGUGUAGAACUUAGUUAUUUAUUUUGCUCUGAUAUCGUUAGAUUCCUUUGUUCUACUGUUUUAUUUAUCGUUUUGUUUUAAACGCCUUAUAUAUUUUAGACAUAUGGCAGGUCUGGGCACGCGCCGGGCGGGCUUCCGCUGGGUCCCGGGGCGUGACAUAUUAUCACCAAUAUUUCUUAUUUAUCAUUAAGUUAAGAGCAAAAGAGCCAUUUUGAUUUUUUUUUUUUACUUUUGUAGAUAUUUAACUCACGUCAAGUUAAUUUAACAGGUGCUAACUAUAGGGGUAUUUCGGAAUAACGUGGGAACAUGCGAGGAAUAUAUGAGAAAGAACAAAAAUAGAGAUAACUUAGAUAUUUUUAAAUUUUUGAGGGUAUAUAUAUAGAUAAUUAUUCCUAAUAAUAAUAUAUCCGGAAUCUAAACAUCGAUUUUGAAUAGAGCUAUAAUACGAAUCCGAAUAGGAUUACAAGUGUUAAUUAUUUGUAUAUAAUACGAAUCUGAAGACGAGCAGGCGCUUCACGUUGGGUACUUUGUGGUGCGCACGAUGGCGAGGGACUGGACGGACCUUUCGUCGGGCGUCCUGGCGGCCAUCGCGGCGCGUCUGACGGCGAUCGACUACAUGGCCUUCCGCAAGGUCUGCCGGCUCUGGGCCCGCUCGGUGUCCGGCGUCCCGCCGUCCCCUCACGUCCCCUACCUCCUUCUCCUCGGCGGCGGCGGCGGCGACGACGACGACGGCGAGCGCAGCGACGAGUUCACCUUCCUCGGCCUCCCCGGCCAGACGCUCCACCGCCUGCCCGUCCCCGGCCUCCGCGGCAAGUACUGCGUCGGCUCCCAGCACGGCUGGCUGGCCACCCUCGACCCCUUCUCCGAGCCCGCCCUCCUCAACCCCCUCACCGGGCAAGAAAUCCCCCUACCCUCCAUCACCACCCUCCCCGACAUCCACCCCUCCUACGCCCCCGACGGCUCCGUAGCCUCCUACUUCCACUUCUCCGACCCCACCGACUACUACUUCCACUACAAGCCCGAGGAGUUCCGUGGCCUUUCCUUCGACAAGGUCGCCUUCUCCUCCAGCCCCGCCGCCGGCGGCCCCCUCACCGUCGUCGCCCUUUACGGCAUCGCGUCGAAGCUCGCGUUCACCACCGCGGGGGCGGACAGGUGGCGCCUCCACGACGACGGCUGGCGCUUCCACGACGUCGCCUUCCGCCGCGGCAGCCUCCUCGCUCUGUCGGGCGAUGGGGAUCUGCUCGCCGUCGACCUCAGCGGAGGCUACGCCGACGUCGUCAGGCUCGUCGCCAGCCAGUUCGACCCCCUUGUCGCAGGACAGUACAGGAGGUACCUCGUCGCCGACGACGCCACCGGCGAUCUCCUGCAGGUGUGGAGGAACUUCGACUUCGACGAUGUCGCGAAUACCUUGACGACUCGCGAAAUCAAGGUCAUGAGGCUCGACUGGGGAACAAAUCGAUGGAUUCCGAUCAGCAGCCUGGGCGGCCGAGCUCUGUUCCUCGGGAUCGGCUCUUCCAUGUUGCUCUCGCCCGAAGAUGUCCGCGGGCUGCGGCCGAAUUGCGUCUAUCUCACCGACGACUGGUGGGACAUGCUGUACAGCGAGGAGGUCAGACUGGCGAGGCGCGACGUCGGGAUAUACUGCCUCGAAGAUGCCAGUCUCCAGCCCUGCCAUUCUCCCGACCCUCGAUUCAACUGGCCUCCGCCUGUCUGGAUCUCGCCGUCUCUAUCCUAACUUAGGUUCCGACUCGCACUAAUUUGAUCCAUGCCUCCUUCUUCUUCUUCUUCUUGAUGCUGGUUUUGCUAUCUAUUUGUUUGGAGUUUCAUUUAGAUUGUCAAAUUUAAUUAGUUUCAUUUAGCUUGUCCUUAUACCUCGGAACGGUGGCUAUCACCACCCUUAGCUGAUUUAACUGCCACAUCCUCUCAAGAUUAUUAUUGAUAAGCUUUUACAACAUUUCAAAAGGUGAUUCGCCGAGUGAAUUAGCAGCCAAAAUCAUCUUCAAAAGAUAAAAGUAGUAGCGAUGACGCCUUCAGGCGAUGUUGUAACUUGCAACCGAAUUAGUUGCCACCUAGUCGUUUUUUUUGGAGAAAAUUGGUAUGGACUUGAACGAGUGACUUAUUUGAAGUAGAAUUGAAGCUCGGUGCCUCAAUUGAAACGCGCUUAUCAUCGGGGAACUCAAAUUUCACUUACAAGUGUAGAGACUCUGGAUUAUAGGAGUCUAGUGACUGCGGAUUAAUUUACCUUAUUUAUUUAAACUCAAAGACGAAUUUAACAUUGACCGAUUAAAAUUAAUGAAAGGAUUAAUAAAUGAAUUUGUGAUCGAAAAGUAAGGCUUUUUUUUUCAAAUUUUGGCUUAUUAAUUUAAAUAAACUGGUUUAGUAUAGAACUAUAAAGUUUCUAGCGUGUAAAGUAUUGUCUAGCCAGUUGGCACGGUCUGGUACUGUUGGGACGUACUGCACAUGCCACCCAUGCCGAUAAACCCGUGCAACCUGCCCCGACUGUGCCGACAUCUAAAACAGGUGUUUUGCCGAGGCGUGCCAUGCAGUGUCAAUGGCACAUCGGCGCACCCCAUGCUAGUGGCCUUUGACCGUAAAGCUUAACUGAUUAUGUUUAUGCCCUCUAGUAUUUAUUACUUCUCUAUUCUCUUGACUUUUUUUCCAUGUCCUUGGAUGUGAAAACCUUAGUAGUGGGUAUUCGAAUGUAGAAAGUGGGUCAGCUUGAGAAUUUCUUGUUUCUCUUGUGGUAAGUUGGUUUUUGCUUACCAAUAGUUUGACACUCUAGAUACUUCUCUUGUUUAAAAUAUUUUCUAGUGGUUAGUUUGCCAGCUAGAAUUAGAUAUGGCAUCGACUGUGGAAAGGUGGCUAUAUCUUCCCCGUGAUCUUCCUUCCUUCACUCUUGGACUAGCACUUCUCCUUCUUUCUAAACAAGAGCUAUGCAGCCUUACUUUUGAACAUGUGAAAUUGAAACUAUCUUCUAUAAGCAAUACAUCUUAAUGAGAACUAGAAACAUGUAGAAGUUCAACACCAACUGAAAUGAUUAAAGUCUCUAAAAGGUGAAAGGAUUAGGUUGAGAAACUUAGUAAUCGUUAACCACAUCAAGAGAGUAGGGGUGACCUCUAAUAGAGCUCUUUCAACUGUGAACUCGGACUGUGCUAUUGACCUCCUAAUCUUUUUAAGAGAAAGGUAGCAUACUACAAGCUUUGUUCAUUUUAUUUUAUUUUAUUUUAUUUUUUUUAAAGAAAUGAACUUAACUGGAAAUGUGAAGCAACUAAGCUUCUGUAACGGCCAAUGAAUUUUCAUCAUUGGCGUUUGCGAAUCGUCCAGGAUAUUACAGCUUCGAACUUGGGGGCCGCAGGUACCAACCAGCAAGCCUUAAGUUGAGGCUGCAGUUCUAGAGAUGAAGAAAAGUGAGGAAUGAGGUAUAGCUUUUUACUAAUGCAAUUAAUAGUUUCCGAAUUACGGGAAUUCAAAAGAGUCAUUUGCUUAUGAACAAGUAACAAACCUUUCAAUCAAGGUUUUAAGUGCCUGUCGGCAUGGGCCGUAUCCACCGUGCCGUACCGUGCCAACAACAUACUAGCAUGAUAUAGACCCCGUGCCGAUGGCACAAUUCAAAACCCUCUAUUCUUUAAAUUAGUAAAUAAUUUUCUCAAUAAAGUUCAAAAGAUGUGAUAAAAAAACAUAAUAAAUAGUUAGAAUAUUUUGCUGCUAAAGAAAAUAAAUAUUUCAUGUUAUUAUGUGUCAGCACACAAGAAUUUUUUUGACCAGCACGGACUGGCACGGCUCGACAAGCACCGUGCAGUAUCGUGCCGGCAAGUUUCUGGCACGACCCCGUGCCACGGCACUUAAAUCCUUGCUUUCAAAGUAUGAAGAAAUGGGAGAACGGGCCACUUGUGUGAUAUAUAUAGAUACGUAGAUGUGUAGUUUUAAAUUAAUGAUGAUUGAAGUAUAUGAAGAUAGAGAAGAGUGGGCCAGUUGUGUAAUGUGUAUGGACAGGUCAAUGGGUAGUUUUAGUGUAAGGUACCGGACUUCUUAAAUUAUGAAAUUACGGUAGGAUGUAGUAUGCUGAAUUUUUAAUAUAAAAAUAAAUAAAAAUAAAAAUAGUGUGAGAUACUAUUUUUAUUGGACUUAAGGGUGUAAAUUGUAAGUUGGAAAUGACCUGUGCUGAAAUCGGAGCGAAAACAGAAGAUUUAGAAUUUUCUGUGAGAAACGGGGCAGACAAAUUAGCAGAAAAUGCACAGUGUCAGAAAAUUAUGAAAACUGGAGGAUAUGUCAGAAUUAUUUUUAUAAGGCUAGAACUAAAGUUUCAUCCCAUUCUGACACCCGGAAGGUGGAGAAUAAAAUCGAAUUGUUAUCUGCUAGAGAUUACAGUUCAGUAGAGUUUUCGGUGACCAAACGGGGUCGAAACUGAAAGAUUAAAAUUUCUUUCGUUAAGUUAAGUAAAACCGAGCCUGACUGUCAAGUUUGAGCUCAAACGGACAUUCAGAAGGGCAGGCGAAAAAUAUCUGUACCCAAGCACAAACUGAAGUGAAUAGUAUUUUUGGAGGUUUAUUAUAAAAGAAGCUAUUUGCUUCUUUUCUCCUUCAACCGAGCAUCACACGCAUGCAUGGAGGUUGAGAGAGAAACCCUCUUUUCUCUCUCUAAAUACCUCCCUUUCUCUCUCUAGAUCUCUCCCAAAAUUUGAAGGUUUUGGUGGAGAUUGAAGUUUAAAGGUGGAUUUUCAUCUUCAUCAUCUUCUUCCUCUCCAUUGGAGCUAGCUUGAGAGGUAAGCUUUGAUAGCAACAAUGGUAGAUUGCUAAGGAAUAAUUUGUAUGCUCUAAGAAUGGAUUUAUUGGAACCCUAGCUUGCUAAAUAGUUAAUUAAUGCUUGAAUCUAGAGAUCAAAUAGAGGAUUCUUGCAUAGUUGUAAUACGAGGGCUCCAAAAAUAGGGUUUUUGGAAAUAUGAGGGUUUGAUCUCAAUUGAUCCUUCGUAAACCUAAUUGGUAGGUAAACGAACGCGUUGGCGAAGUCGGUUCGGCGAUUCGUCAACCCUACGCGAAGAUAUUGAAGAAACUGACGAUUUAGCUUCGUUUCUGCCUGGAGGGCCGAGGCGACGUCCAAAAAUUAUGAAAAUGGAUUUGAAGCACCGUAUCAGUAAACCGAAGGCCUUUAAUUUUCGGGGCUGCAAAGCGGCGCACGGUUGGUGCGCAACUGCAAGAUCGGGCCGUGUCGGAUACGGGUGCCGCGAGAGGCAGAUUGCAAGUGACUACGAGCAAUCGGAGAGUAAGUUAAGGUGGGUUGUGCUUACCGAAGCGACUAGAUUUCCCCGCAUGUCAAAGCGGAAUAUGGAUUCUUGUUGAUGCAUAUGUGCAAGUUAGCAUUAUGUAAAUAUAUGCUAGCGGGUAGAAUACAUGCUAGUGAUAAUUUCAUAAUAAUGCAUUGGAAAGUACAUGCUAGUAAGUAGAUGUAAGUGAGAUGUUUAUAUGCUUGUAGAAUAUAUGCUAGCUAAUUGCAUGACUGCAUGAUUAUAUGAUGCUAGGAGAGGCAUGAUGACAUGGCAAGCAUAAGGCAAAUGCUAGAUGACGCAUGUAGUUGAUGCUAGACACAUGUAUGUGAACUGUAGAAUACUCGAUAUAACAAAUAGGAUGUCAAGUAGAUCGAGUGGCAUUAACCUAGUGUUAAUAAACAUAGGUCGGAUGAAGAUGAUAUUGAACCUAGUGUUAGUAAACAUAGGUUACAAUGAAUCUAGUGUCAAGGACCUAGGAGAAAUAAGAAUGGUAUAUGAAUCUAGUGUUGUUGAACCUAGGGUGAAUUAUGAGUGACAUCUAACCUAGUGUUAAAGAACAUAGGUUGAGAAUGAACCAAGAGUUAUCUAAACCUAGGUGUGAGGCAUUAAUCUAGUGUCGUGAACAUAGGUUGUGAACUGGACUUAGAGUUAAAGUAAACCUAGGUUAUGUGAUUCAGGUAUUAAACCUAAAGUCAGUUGGACCUAGGGUGGGAAGUGCAUUGGACCUGGUUAGGUCGAUAAUAUAGGGUUUGAGACCAACCCUUGAGUUAUGUGAAGUGGAUUCCGGAAUCCCGAGACUUGUGAGCUCGAUAGUUCUUGGCCGCGGGUGUAUGUGGCAUGUUCCUCUCCCACCGGAAGAACUUCGAGGAUUGUGAGUAAGCAAGAACAAAGAGCGCUAGGGUGUAUGUGGUAUGUUCCUCUCCCUAUCGGGGAUCUCGGCUGCGGGUGUAUGCGGCAUGUUCCUUUCCCACCGGGAGAUCCCUGACCACUGUGCACGGACCUUCGGGCGGACCGUUGGGCAAUGUGGUUCUUGGCUUUCUGGCUGAGGUGCAUGUGAGAGUUCCUUCACCUCGAGCCGGGCAGAGCGCGGAUUAUCCGCAGUUGAUUGACUCGAGGCCGAGUCGGGUGGCUAGCUGGAAUAAGGUAGAUAGAACCUUGAGGGCUAGUGGUAAAUGUGAUAAAUCUAAGGUAAUAGAGACCUUAGAAACAAGGGGGACCUGAGUUGUGAACCUAAGGGAGUAGAAACCUUAGAGUUGGAUGACAUGAACUAAAGUUAGCAAGAUUGAAUGUAGAAUCAAUAAUUCUACUAGUUGUUGCAUAUAUGUUCAUGUUGCGUAUAGCAUGGCAUCAUUGCAGUUGUGAGGCAAAAUAAGGUAAAGUUAGUUACAUGUUUAUGAUAUACAUAUCUAUCUGUUUAUUGGACUAACUUGUAUUUGCCUCCUUUGGACAUGUUGGUCGAGCUCCUCCCUUGGGUGGCUGUACCCACUGGGAACCAUGGAGUUGGUUCUCACCCCACGUUGUUUUGGGGUGUUACAGAUUCGCACGUGAGCGGUGCGGCGGCGCGAGGCAAGGGCGUAGCUCCAUAGAUAGCGUCCUACCUCUGAGACUAGAGAUAGCGGUACCCCGAGUCGGCAUAGCCUAGGGGUAUAGGAAAGGGAAGAAACACAAUGUAUCAAACUUGUAAAUAAAUAAUGUAGUAACUCGAUUGAAUUUGGAAGUUUUUGGAAGUUAUAAAAUGUAAUAUGCAAGUAUGAGGUAAAAAUGAAUCUAUGUGAAUGCUUGUAAUAACAUAGGAUGUGUUAUGUUGUUUGAUACCUUCCUUAUGCAAUCUUGCUUGAAUACUGUUCCUGGUUGGAACUUCUUGUACUUGUAUUGAUUGCGACGCCUAGGACGUACAGGGGAGACUCUGUCCGUUCGGCGGUCUGUCGGCGUGCCCGAACCUGACCAAAUAGGCGGGGCUCGUUGCGUGACAUUUAGAUUAAUUUGAUUGAAGUGAUAUGUGAUCUUUUGGAAAUGUUUCUUUUUCUUUGACAAAUGUUAGGGCAGACGCCUUAAUGGACAGGUAGCAUUGCGAACGCGUAGCAAUCCAAUCUGAGUAGGUUUCUGCAUAUAUUGGAUACACGCUGAAAACUUGAUAUACCAAAAACACUUAUUUAAUCUUCUUUAAGGGGGACCAUGGAGAAGAAAAGUAUGCGAAGCGGCCUAUUUUCGCAACAGUAGUGCUUUGCAAACAUAGAGAUGUGGUGCAGAUCACAGGUUGAAUGGCAUGUUGUGAGUGACUUUGCAAAGAUAGAGAUGUGCUGCAGCUCGAAUGAGGCAUGUUAAAUCAGCAUGGAAUCAUGGAUGAGGCUGUGGCACUUUGUUUUGAUUUAUUUAUAAAAGUAUAGGAGUAUUUUGAUAAUAUAUUGGCAUUGUAGUAGGAUGGAGAUAUAUUUUAGUAUCUCAGCUUUGGUUUAAUCAGUAAGUUGGUAAAAUCGGACCACUCUGAGUGUCUAGGCAUCCGACUUGACAAUUUACUCUGUCAAACUUGAUCUAUAGGAUUUCAAGAUUCUAGGAAUUGAAUACCAUAAUUUUAGAAAAUUAUAAUUUAUUUGUCUUGUCCAUCCACCAAAUGAAUUGUAGAAACUGAACAAGCAUAAAAGAAGUCAAGGGAAGCAUUACGCAAUUCAAGAUUGGAUGUGACUUGAUAUAUAUAUAUAUAUAUAUAUAUAUAUAUAUAUAUAUAUAUAUAGAGCAGGGCUGUUGUGCUCUCAGGAGCACGGAGGCCUUUGUUCUCCUGAGCCGUUUUCGAUGAUGGAAUAUUCGAAUCGACGAUUGGCUCCGUUAGACUUGAUCUAGUGUAUUUGAAGUUUCUAAAAAAUAAUUUUUGCGAUUUUUCGAUAUCAUUUACCUAGCAAUCAAAAAGAUUCAAAAUCAAUAAUUUUUAACGGCUGAAAAUAAAAAUCCUAUAAAAGUGGUGAUAUAGCACUAAAAUUUUCGAUCAAAAAUAUUGAUCUUGUUGUAGAUAGUGUAAAGAAUUUUGUAUCAAAAUUUCAUCUGAUUUGAAUUCUUCUACACCGUUAAAGUUGAAAACAGCAAAUAUUAACCAUUAAAAAUUAUUGAUUUUAAACCCUUUCAAUCAUUAGGUAAAUGAUAUAAAAAAAUCGUAAAAUUUAUUUUCUAGAAACUUCAAAUAUGCUAGAUUAAUUCUAACGGAGCCGAUCGUCGAUUCGAAAGUCCAAACAUCGAAAACAACUUGGAAGCACGGAGUGCUCCGUGCUUCCAGAAGCAUACCAGACGCACUAUAUAUAUAUAUAUAUACAUAUAUAUAUAUAUAUAUACAUAUAUAUAUAUAUAUAUACUUCUUUUUAACUUAAAUUAAGGUUAACUGACCCCGUCAAAUGAGCAAUUGGCCCCUAGUAGCCAUUAGAGAUUGUGAAUUUUGGGAUCAUUUGAUCUAAACACCUUAUAUUCUUUGGUUUUUACCCGUUUGAUGUGCAUCACGAUUCACAGGCAUGUUGGUUACUAGGACUGCUGGCCUUCAGUCGAACUACCUUGCCUUCAGGGGAUGAACUGUGAAAGGAUCAAUCCUCCAUUCAGUUUUCUUAACUUAAAAAGUACAUCAGGGCAUUCCACUGAGUAUGUUAUUCUGAUCCACAAAACAUCCAUGAAUUCCUGCACUCGUGCAGACUUGCUUACAAGCCUCUAACGGCACAACUGCUGUAGGGAAAUGGCCCGAUGGAUUUGUCAGCUGGUGAACAAGCACAAUCCACUUCUUAUGUUCGAAACAACAAUUCACUUAGGAGAUGUAAUUUCAGUUCUAUACAUUUAAAAUCCAAAUUAGAUAUAAAACAAGAGAAACUUCACACUAGACGAAUAAAAAACUGGGGAAACAUUACAUUGGACAAGUUAUUAUAAAUUUUGUUUUCUUUUUUUUAAAAAAAGCAGUUCCCAUUAUCACAUUUUUACUUUAGAUAUGGCGCAAUUUUUCAAUUAGCGUAAGAGCAUAGUACAAUACUUGAUGAGAAAAGCAUGAGAGUGGAGGAGGAUUUAUGGUCUCUUCUGUUCGCUGUUAUCUGUGCUUGAACCUUUUAUAGUUAUCUUGCGGCUUCAAGCUCUUGCAAGCCCCUAAAUGAAUAUUUAAGAUACAUCAAAUUGUUCUAGUAGAUUAAGUAUCAAUUUAUUUAUUUGAUAUAAAUCAAUCAUCGUAGAUCACAAUAGAAACUUUUUGAUGACACAUGCGAUGGUUCUUUUCAGAUUGAUGGAAAGAAUAUGAAUAACUUCUAGAUAACACAAUGCGGAAGCUAAUGUCUUAUCUUUAUUGCAGGGAAAAGCUUGAAAUCGUGUCAUGAAUCAGAUUACUUGUGCGAGCGAUGUGGAAUAUGUUACGGAUGGACUAUUUUUGUAUGAAUGGGCUCUAUCGUCGACUGAAGUAUUAAUGGUUGAACUGUAUUUAUGAGAUGAAACUGAAUAUUUUUGCGGGAUUAUUUAGCGAGCGUGUAACAGUUAUAUCUAUGCACUCUAAAUUAUUUAGCAUCAUUAUAGUGUCUGGGUGCCAACUAUUCUUGUGGUUAUUGUUCCAUUUGUGAUUUUUUUUUUUUUUAUCCUUUAUUAGUGUUUGAGCAGUUGCCAUUAUAUAUGUUUCUUCAUAGUUAUAGUGUAUAAUGUAUCUUCGAUUGCUAGGAAAAUGAUAUCGAAAAAUCACAAAAAUUAUUUUCUAGAUAGUUCAAAUACGCAAAUCAAGUCUAACGGAGCCGAUCGUCGAUUCGGAAGCUCCAUUAUCGAAAACGGCUUAGGAGCACGGAGGCUUCCGUGCUUCUAAUAGCACACAAGACCUACUAUAUAUAUAUAUAUAUAUAUAUAUAUAUAUAUAAUAGAGUUGAGGGCUAGAAUAUAUCGGAUAGCCUAACUGACUCUUUUUGCCACCCCAUUUUUUUCGAUGAUGGACGGCCUCCAAAUCGACGAUCGCACCGGUUUUGGAAAAAAACAUGAAAAAAAUUUUUUAUAUACCACUUGAAAGUGUUUAGAAAUCAAUUUUAAAAUCUUUUUUGACAUAUUGCCUAAUGAUUCAAAGAAGUUUUUCAAAAUUUGUAAAUUUUUAACGGUUCCGAUAUGGAGGCGUUUUAUCUCGUUUAACGCAUAAGAGAAUGUCAAAUCAAUAAUGAAUUUUUGUUUAGAAAAUUUUUUAUUAACGUCAUUUAAAAACAGAGAAUCUAUACUCUUGAUCUUGAAUUAAUUAUGUUUUUAAGAAUAUUCAAUUUUUCAGCCGUUCAUUUUUGUGUCCAGUCGAUGAAAUAAGAGAACAAUAUUGGAAAAUGUAUGAAAUUUGAUUCCUAGAAUACUUCAAAUGGUAUAGAAUCAUGUUCAAACGGUUGCCGAAGUCGUCGAUUUGGAGGCUCCAUCAUCGAAAAACAAUGGUGGCAAAAGAUGCAUUGCUAUCGAUACGUAUAUUCCAGUCAACUCCUUCCUCCUCUCUCUCUCAUCUCUCUCGUGUCUCUCUCUCUCUCUCUAUAUAUAUAUAUAUAUAUAUAUAUAUAUAGAAUUAGGCUACUAUACUAUCUAUAGUAUCGGAGCCCCAGUACUAUAGUGUUGUUUUCGAUCUUAGGGUGUUCAAAUCAACAAUCCACACCGUUAAAUAUGAUCUAGGGUAUAUGAAGAUCUUAGGAAUAAAAUUUUAGUUCUUUUCUAUAUCGUUUACUUAAUAAAUAAAUUAUGUCAAAAUGGAUGGUGGAAAUUGAAUACUCUUUAAAAUUUGAGCAUAGGACUUUUAAAUUCAAGAUCAAGAAUGUUAACCUUAAUCUAUAGAGUUUAAAGUAUUUUCUAUCAAAAUUUGAAGAAAUUUAGAUUCUUCUAUACCGUUAAACUCCAAACUCGUCAUAAUAGCCAUUGAAAAUUGACAAUUUUGAAAUGGUUUGAUUAUAAAGUAAAUUAUGGCCAAAAAAGAGAAAAUUUAAAAUCUAUGAAUGCAUACACCAAAUCAGAUAUUAACGGUGAAGAGAGUAGAUGAGAAAGAGAGAGAGAGAGAAAACGGAACUAUGAGUACUAGUGCGAGAUCGCGUCAUGCACUAAAGUGAUAGUUAGAGAUAUGACUAACUAUCUGAUCUCAACUCAAUGACCACUUAAAAAACUCGCCAUCGCUCGAUCCAUAGAUAUAUAUAUAGAUAUACAGCCCAAAAAGAGAGUAACACUGUUCACCAUUACACAGAUGUCAUUUGAACUUGACUCAGAGAGAGAGUCAGGCUACUAUACUAUCGGUAGCACGAAGCGCUUCCGUGCUACCAAGUUGUUUUCAAUGAUACGACUUCCAAAUCGACGAUCAGCUCCGUUAAACUUGAUCUACACUAUUGAAAGUAUUUGGAAACUAAAUUUCAUAAUUUUUUGGUAUCAAUUACUUAUCAAACGAGUAGUAUAAAAAUGAACGGCUGAAACUAAAAAUCUUAUAAAAAAUAAUGAUAGAAGGCUUGAAUUUAAGAUCAGAGUUACUGAUCUUACUCUAAAUAGUAAAAAAAAAUUUAGCUAAAUUACAGAAAACCCCCUGUCAAAACCCGUUUUUUCACUUUCCCCUCCUGUCAUUUAAAACCUACACUUUGCCCCCUUAUAAAAUAAAAAAUGUGCACUUCACCCCAUACCGUUAGGGUUCCGUUAUAACAAUUUUUUUUAUGCCAAAAAUACCCCUUCGCCCCUCUUUCCUGUUGCUUCGAUGGCUUCCGGGACGGCGCCCUCGCCGGCCUCGCCCUCAUUUACGAGCUCAAUCUCUUCUUCGACCCCCCCUCGACGCUAUCUUCCUCAACUCCAACCGCCUCCUCCGCCGCCGCCCCAUCCCCGCCAACCUCGGCGACUCCCGGCCCCGGCCUCCAUCGUCGUCCUCGCCCACAACAAACUCGGCGGCUGCAUCCCGCCCUCCAUCGACCGCAUGGCCGACACCCUUAACGAGAUCGUCCUCCUCGACGACGGCCUCGCCGCCUACAUCCCGCCCGAGGUCGGCCUCCUCCGCCGCGAAUGAGGAGGAUGAGGGAGAAGACGAAAAUGGCGAAGGGCAAAAUGGUCAUUUUGUCACACCGUACCCCCCUUGUGAACAUUUUUUAUUUUACAAGGGGGCAAAGUGUAGGUUUUUAAAUGACAGGGGGGGAAGUGAAAAAGCGGGUUUUGACAGAGGGAUUUUCUGUAAUUUAGCCAAAAAAUUUUUAUAAAAAUUUCAUCUGAUUUGGAUUGUUUUACAUCGUUAAAUUUACAAAUAUAUCACAUCUAAUAUUAAAAUUGUCAAUUUUGAGACCUUUUGAUCACUAGCCAAAUGAUGUCGAAAAAUUAUUAAAUUUAGUUUCCAAAUAUUUUUAAUAGUGCAGAUCAAGUUUAAAGGAGCUGAUCGUUGAUUUAGAAGCCGCAUCAUUGAAAACAACUUGGUAGUAUGGAGGCCUCGUGUUACCGCUAGUUACCGGCCUAGCUCUCUCUCUCUCUCUCUCUCUCUCUCUCUCUCUCUUUAUAUAUAUAUAGUGUGACUAUGCUAUCGGAAGCACGAGCCUUUCGUGCUUCCAGCUCAUUUUCGAUGUUGCGACUUUCGAAUCGUCGAUCGGCUCCAUUAAACUUGAUCUAGAGUAUUUGAAGUACCUAGAAAAUAAAUUUUAUGAUUUUUUGAUAUCAUUUGCCUACUGAUCGAAGGGGUUCAAAAUCAAUAAUUUUAAUAGCUGUAGUGAGCCGUUUGCAAGUUUAAUGGUGUAGAAAUACCCAAAUCACGUGAAAUUUUGAUAGAAAAUUUUUUGUACUAUAUAAAACAAGAUCAAUAUCUUUGAUCUAAAAUUUUAAUGUCAUAUUAUCACGUUUUGUAAGAUUUUUAUUUUCAACUGUUGAUUUUGAGCCCCUUCGUUCACUAGGUAAAUAAUAUCGAAAAAUCGCAUAAUUUAUUUUCUAGGUACUUCAAAUACUCUAGAUCAAGUUUAACCGAGUCGAUCGACGAUUCAAAAGUCGUAACAUCGAAAACUAGCUGGAAGCACGGAAGGCUCCGUGCUUCCGAUGGCAUAGUAGCCUUACUAUAUAUAUAUAUAUAGAACUAGGCUGGAAUACUAGCCAUGGCUAAUAUACUAUUAUGAGUAUUUUAGCCCUCAUACUCAUAAGUUGUUUUCAAUAAUGGAGCUUCCGAAUCGACGAUCCACUCCAUUAAAUAUGAUCUAGAAUAUUUGAAACUUCUAGAAAAUAAAUUUCGUAAAUUUCCAAAAUCAUGGUCAAGUCCAUCAAGCGGGCAUAAAAUGAACGGUCAAAAUCGAACGACGUCCGAAAAAAGGAUCAAAUCCUUCAAUUCAAGAUCAGAGUUAUUGAUAUUUAUCUAGGUAGUGAAUAGAAUUUUCUAUCAAAAAUUCAACAAAUUUCGAUUCUUUUACACCGUUAUACUAGUAAGUAUCUCAUACCGGCCAUUAAAAAUUGUCAAAUUUGUGACCUCUUGAUCGUAAGGUAAAUGAUGUCGAAAAAUUAUAAAAUUUGAUUUCUAAAAGUUUUAAAUGCUGUAAAUAAUAUUUAACGGUAUGGAUCGUCAAUUCGGAAGCUCUAUCAUCGAAAACGACUUAUAAGUACGAGAGCGAUCGUACUCAUAAUAGUAUAGUAGUCAGACACUAUAUAUAUAUAUAUUUAGAGAGAGAGAGAGAGAGAGAGAGAGCGAGACCUUAUCUGAUAUAUCAUUACAACUUAGUGCACCAACGAAUACCAAAAGUCAACUUGAUAAAUCAAAAUUUUACGAAUUUAAAAUAUUCUAAUCGAGAAAUUACUCUUAAGAUUUUGUUUGGAACUUAGAAUAUGUUAUUCAAUAUAAUUCUAUUUGAUAUGAGGAUUUUCUAUUGUGAUUGAAAGCCAUGUGAUUUGAAUUAGAAUUCAAUUUUCUAUCUUGAAUUUGAAUUGUGACUGCAAGUUAGUUUUGAGUUUGAACAUGAUGUUUAUUUUGAUUUUGAAUUUGAAUUUAAGUUCAAAUUCUAUGUUCAAACUAUAAAUUUAAUUUUGUCUUCAUAUCUGCAUCCAAAUUUAUAUACUAUAAAUUUAAAUUCUAUAUACUAUCCAUAUCUGUAUCCAUAUCUAUAUAUCUGUAUACUAUAAAUUUUGUCUUCAAAUUCUACGUUCAAACUAUAAAUUCAAUUUUAGGGGAAAAACGGAUAAGAUAUUAUAUAUACGAAAAUAUCUGUAUCUAUAUCUAAUAUUAUCUAGAAAAUGUUCGGUUUCGGUCGGGUAUGAAUAUGGAUAUGAUUUUAACGAGCCAAAAUUAUUCAAUUAAUUAUCCAAAAAAAUAGAUAGGAUAUGAAUAUCCGGAUUUUUAGUAGUAUUAUAUUUCGUGGGUUUUUACUUAUGUAUCCCUUAUGACUAUUCAAAUUUUUAAAAUUUACCAUACAAUUAACAAAAUACUCGUUUAAAAUCGAAUUCUGUUAGUAACCCCCAGAAAAAAUUGGGAUAUUUAAAGGAACUUUUUAAAAUCAACAAGUAUGUUUUGGUACUUUAGGAGUUAAUAAGAUAUUUUUGAAAUUUUGAAAGGUAUAUUACAUAUUACCUCUUUAUAUUAAUAAAUUAAAUUACCAUAUUAAUUCCCCAUAUCCCAUUCUCCUAAUCCCAAUAUCCCACUAUCCUAUUCCCCUAUUUCAACAUUGUGCUUUCAAGUUUGCAGAUAUUAAAACAUAAAAGAAGUUACAGAUUAUUUUGUUGGGAAUUCGGUACUCACCCUGGUACCGGAUGUUGAGAAUCCGCAACCUGCUCCGAUACCGACUGCUGUGGAUUCGGUACCGAUUGUUAGGAUUCCACAACGGAAGUGUCGAAUCAGGUUUUAACCAUAAAUCAGUCUCCUCAGCAAAAACUGAUACAAUCACAAAAGAGAGAAAAAUCAAAAUAGAAAAUAUGCGGGUAAAAUAAGAUUCAUUAUGUCACGCCCCGGAUUACUCAUUUUUUCGGGCACGCUAACAGACCCGUCGUAUACAUAAAAAAAUUUUCUGUAUGCGAAGUGAAACAGUAGAAGUAUCUGUAAUCAAACAAUACUUUUUCAAACAGUAGUAUAGAGCUGCUAGGAAAAAUAAACCAUAUAUAAAAAUAGUGGUUCAAUACAUACAUGUCAUCCUGGAUACAAAAAUACUCGCUCUGGCGAGAUACAACAUCUGUAUGUAAAGAACCAAAAACUACAACUACCUGUAACUGGUAAUCCUCUAGCUCUGCGACUCUGGAAGGGCUCUAGCUCGCGACACCCUUACUAUGAUCUGAAUCUGCAACAGGCGAUGGCUCUGCAAAAACAGAGGUAACAACGGGCGUGAGAACUACUGCAAAAAGAAGUAGUCCUCAGUGGGUACCGCCCUUAAACUCAUCGGUUCACCCACCAAGUCUACGGAUAAGUGCUCAACGAUAGAAAAAAAAGCUGGAAUAAAUCUACAGCUAUAUGCCACUACUCUAUCGUAAUCCAACACUACUAUCUGUAGAAUAAUAUUAUCUCAGACCCAAUCUCACUAAGGACUGUAAACAUAUCCAUCUCAGGGACUGUGAACACACCCGUCCCGACCGGUUGCAACUAUACAGCUACAUCCACACUAAGCAGUCCGUGGAGAGCAAGUCCAACCUGCACGAACACCGAACGCAAUCGCACAGCGCUCGUCUCCAGAGUGGCACUCGUGGGAGCUAUCCAACCGAGUAUGCAAGCGUAUCUCUGUCGAGCUCAGUCAGGCUCUCACAAGCCAAAGUCAAGUAAACAAAGUCUAAUAGGUCUAACAACCCAACUUACGUGCCCUUGGCACAAUCUGAUACAAAAAUAGCAAUCUGAGUCCACCGUCAACCCCGACGGCACCCGACACUCCGAAACAGCUUAGACUCUACUGUAAAAAUAAGCUCGGCAUUUUAGCACGAGCGUAAAUGCAUUCUAAACUAUCCUGGAUAUCUACCGCGCUGAAACAGCAGUGAUACAACCAAACCACGACUCCUAGAGCUAAAUCAGGUAGUUUAAGCAUAUGACGGGGUCGAAUCACUAGUUUUUUUCUAAGUCAAAUUCCAAGUCCAACAUGUAUAAUUUAUCCAAUUACUAAGCAUGCUCCAAAUUCAAAUUUCAAUAACAAGCUAAUCAAUGAAUUCGAACUAAUCUUGAUAUACCAAAGCUGAAAUUGUACAUGUCUACUAUGCAUUAUACUUAGAAGGCAAAACCGAUGAUAAACCCACCUCUCGCGCAACCCCACAGCAGCAAGAAGGUUCCGAAUGGCUGGAAGCUUCAGCCGAGAUCACCUACAACUAGCAACUGAGAUACUUGAGAGAUCUAACAUCAAAAAACCCCUCAAAACCAUCAAUCAAAAGCAAUUCAGCCCAAAACUGAAAUCUUGCUCAAUUACAAAGCUAAUUUCACCUUUCAACUCACAAAUCAGGUGUAGAAAGGUCCCAAAAGCAGUGAACUAUGCUGGAGAAUAAUCCUCUGGUUCAAAACCACUCUUUUUCCGAGAUCUAAACACAAAAUCAUCAAAUUUGCAUCAAUAACUCCAAAUUUCAGCACUUAAGCUUAAAUCGACAACUCCAACGUCAAAACUCACCUAUUAUACCCCAAAUUCACAAUUCAGUUGAUGAACACCUUCAAAAGUUAGUAGGGAAUGAUGGCGCAACUUCCACUGGUCGAGGUUCCAGCUCUCUCCACGAAUUGGUCCUUAACAAUCAAGAAAAACUCAAAUUUAAGACCAAAACAUCAGCAGCUCAGAAAAAUCCAAAAUCGGCCAAGCUAACCUCAACCAAAUCCUAUGAAAUUGGGCUCGACGGAUUCCUCUCGAAGUCUAGAAUCCAACAAAUCAAGUUUCAUGGAAAAGGGAGCUUCCUACGUCGCACAUGAGCCGAAACGCUGACGGUCGUUGUUGGAAAACUGCUAGGACAGUACUACUCAAGGAAAACUUGGUGAAUUUUAGCAAAUUUAGAGGAAUUAGAGGGGUUUGGAUGCAAAAUGGCCUUCACUGUGAAAAAAGGGAGAGAAGGGUUCAUCAGGGUUGAGCUCCUCCUAUUUAUAGGGUGCUGGGAUGGUAAAAUAAGCCUUAGGAACUUAGCUGCUAACCUGUUGUUCCUGCAGAAAACAGGGAAUUCGGGCGCCCAAAACCAUCUUCUGGGCUCCGAAACCUCCAGGCUACACAAAGCUUCCCCUUCGGUUCCUCCGGCUGCGGUCUGAUGCACCCUAAACCAGUUCCGGCGGACCUCACCUACCACCCACACGUGUCAACACAAUCGAUACUCACGAGGUGCACUUUCGGACUCACAAUCCGGGCGCCCGAAACAUGGAUCCGAAUUGCCUUCCAAUUCUGUCCAGUUCUGCACUCAAGUUCUGGGCGACCCAAACCCUAUUCUGGGCACCCGAAUCUGGCAAAACUCCAGUUUUGCUUAUUUGAGUUUGCCGAAUCCAUUUCUGCAUCCCUUUCGUGCAGAAAUGACUCCGACUCAGUCCGACACUCUCCAGAUGUGUUGACCAGUCACUAAUACUAUAGCCAAUCCUAUCCAAACCUCAGGAACACUACACAUCAAAUAAGAGAAGAUUACACCUGACUCAUCUUCUAUAAUAAAAUAGCUACAAAGCCUUCUUUCUCGAAUCUCUCAUAUCAUUCUCUCAUCUUUUAUUAAUCUAAAAGACUACUCACUUAUAGACGCAUCCGUACAUAAGGUGCAUCCAACUCACUAUCUCUCUCUCUUUUUCUCUCUCUGGUACGGCACCCAAGGCUCCAACCGUACUCCCUCAAGAGCACACACCUAAUUAAUUAGCCAAUGCAUUAUUUAUAAUGCUCAACUUAAAACGUACCCAAUCCUAUUAAUUAAUAUCUAAAUCUAUCUUAAUUAAUCUCGAAUAAAUUUAAAUAUUAAUCAUAAUUUAGUUAUGUUUAUCCUCUAAUUAAUAUUUAAAUCUUAAUUUAUCUCCAACAUAUUUAAAUAUUAAUUCUUAUCCAAAUAGGAUUCAACUACAAAUCUAACUAAAUUCUAACAAUCUCCACCUUGGUUGGAUUUGUAGUCUUCAACUCCAACGUCGAGCUUACCAUGCAAACUCCACCUUGAGCUUGUCUUCUCCACUCGAUGUUGGCGCAUCUGUCGCUCGGCCUCGAGCAACUGCACUUCCACGAACUUUUGGAACCCAAACGGUUUUCGCUCUCGUUCUGACUGUACUCCCGUUCAAAACGUAUAAGUUUUCGCGCUUGUUCGCUUCGCACAUGACCCGAUCUCAUUUUCGGACCCUCAUAGCUCCACCUGAAGCUGAAAUAUCACAACCCUUUGAGUCCAACGCGCCUAACGAGAUCAAAUUUCGUCUUAAUCGAGGAACAUGUUGCACACCUGUCAGUGUCCUCACGACCUCAUCGUACAUUCAGAUCUUCACCGUACCGACUCCGAAAACUUUGCACAUCGUCCCGUUCCCCAUCAGAGCCUUUCCACCCUUGAUCGCUUUAUAAGUGGCAAAAGACUCUUUCUCCAGACAAACGUGAAAGGAACAUGCCGAAUCGAGCACCCACGCACCAUCCGAAAUUUUAGCACCUCCGGUCGCAGCAUAUAGCACAUCAGAAUCGAUCAUCUCCGAUUCUAUUGCCUGCGCCAUCGCUGUUAUCUCCUCGUCCUGGUUCACGACAGUUUUCUCCUUCUGUCGCUUUAACUCCUUCAGAUCAUCUUGAAGUUUUCGACAGUUGCGCUUAAUAUGUCCUUUCCUGUGACAGUAAAAGCACUCUACCUUAGAUAGCAGCUUCUUCUGUCGAUCUCUAGUCGCCAAUGUUGUCGACUCCUUCUUCACUCUCACCACCAAAGCAGUAUCCCGACUCUGCGUGCCAGACUCCUGAGUCAUCUUCCGCAUCUCGUUCGAGAGAAGCGGAGCAGUGAUCGACUCCACGCUUAUGGUCUCCUUGCCAUAGAGCAACGUUGUCACGCCUCGGGACCCGGCAUAGGCCCGCCCGGUGCGUGCCUAGACCCGCCAUAUGCCUGCACAUAUAAGGCGUCUGCAACAAUAGCGAUAAAUGAACAAGAAUAAAGAGUAUCUAGAGAUAUCAGAGCAAGUAUACAGCUAGAUUCUAUCAACAAGUAGAAUCAAAGAAAACUAAACUACUAAAGUAAAGUGUAAAGUAAUACAUCAUAAGUCUCAUGACACAUCAAAAGGGAUGGUCUCUAUACACAGGUACAAAUGUCUCAACCUCUCCAAAACAAAACCCAAAAGAAAGGUAGACCACCUAUCGUUGAAUCUCUUGCUAGCUAGCUCGAGGCGAUUCCUUUCCCGCGAUCCCGAGCCUCUCCCGGAGUGGAAGGCUCUGAAAGAAAACAUAAAACAGAGAGCGUGAGAACUAUAAUUUAUAGUUCCCAGUGGGCAAUUACCGACCUCAGCACAAUGCACCACUAGGCCCAAAGCAGAUAUGAUAAGCGACUAAUAAACUGCAGGUAUAAAAGCAUGUAUAGAAAUGCUAAACUACUAUGCCGCAAUAUAACAUGUGUCAACAUGGUGUACAUCUAUUCUAUCAUGAUCCAAUAUACUAAUACAUAUCUGGUAUGCUUUAUCAUGGCAACCAAGUAUACUAAAAUGCAAUGAGCAAUACUAUCAAGUAUACUACAUGUCCAAAUGUCCAAUAAAUCCAACUACGUUAUGCUAUCAAGUAGUGAUUGUCAUAAUACUGUUUAAUGUCCUCGUUCAAUCUCAUUUAGGACCUACACAUUUGUAGUCCAACUUGUGCCACCUAGCUGCUUGUGGUAGCCCAUCAUCCCACACUAGAAAUGAGUCUGUCCCAUGGGGCCCUAUAGGCGUCUCAAUCCCGCACGAGCGAGCUCAAGGAUCCGGCCAUCAUGUCCCUAACAUGGAAAUAAUCACUAGCACCCCAAAGGUCUAGUCCAAGUCCCAAAGUAAGGUUCAACCACACAUUAAGUUUAAUGCCCAUUUAUGACAUUUUGCCUUACUAUGUCCAAAUCCAAAUCCAACACUAAUGCCACUUCAUGACAUUAGGUUUUACUAUGUCCAAUCAUAUUCGAAGUCUAAUGCCACUUCAUGGCAAUAUCUAUUCCUAGUCCACAUAUAUGUAUAUGUAUAUUCCAAGACCAAUGCCACUUUAUGACAUUAGGUCCUCUACUAUGCCCAACAUGAGUUUUAAGUCCAAGAGUGUAUUGUACAUGUCAUUUUCACUACAGAAAACAUAAUUCCAAGUCACGUAUAAGAAUGCUAUCCCAACAUGAAUAACUCUCUACUAUAUCGAGGUCCAAAUAUGCAUUAUACAUAACAUGUGCAUUUUAAGCAUUCUAAAAUUCACAAAUAUUCUAUCUAAUAUGAAUAUGCAUGAAGUUCCAUGAUACGACAAGUACAAUCAUCAUAUGAGAAUUUAUCUCAUUUUGGUGAGGCCAAACCUACCAAGUCUCCUCGAAACCCUUCGUUCGCGCCGACGAAGGUGCCCACGACUCUCCUAGCACCCUAAAGAUAAUAUUGGGAGAGUUAAACGAACGAAACGAACAACCCAAAGGUUAAACAUUAACCAACUCAAGAAAAUGGCAAAAACUCACCUAAGUGUAGAAAAUUCCUCUCAAUCCUCAAAUGAGAGCUAGAACCCUUCCAAUCCAACAUAGGGGAAGGUUCUAAUCCAAGCAAUUGAACUCCAAAAGCCCUAAAUCCAAAAUCUCGAAAUAAACCUUAAAUUACUCAUUUCUAGGGUUUCUAUAUAAAAAUCAUACAAAACAUGAUCUAGAGAGGGGGAGAAGGCUACCAAUCUCUAAAGAAGCUUCAAUAAGGCUUGGGAUAAGCUAGGGUUGAAGAUCUCUCGUCCAACAAGCUCCAAUCCAAUCUCCAAGUCUUCUCCAAUAGUGGAAAAGCCACCAAGAUGGAAAAAGAGAGCAAAAGAUGUGUUUAAUCCCCAAAAAUUCCAACCAAAUAGUAGAAGAUCAAAGAGAAGAAGUGGAGGGCUCCUUACCUCUCUCUCCUCUGUUUCCAAACUCAGAAAAACCCCAAAGGGUCGUGGGGGUAUUUGUAGUAAUGUUACAAUUCCAAAAACACCCCUAAAAAACUGCCAGACUACAGUUUGCAAAGUGUACUGGUACACGGAAAAGUGUACCGGUACAACACCCCAGUACGCGCAAACCCGAGUCUCGGGUUGGCAGAAAUCUGCCUUUUGUAUUGGUACAAACCCAAUAUUGUACCAGUACAACCCCUUGUUCCGGUACAACAUCAAUGUUCUACCGGUACAACACUCUGCAGAACCCAACCCGAGAGCAGCCUAAGUCCUUCUCUUUGGAGACCUUAGUGCUAAGUUUUAAACCUCGAUUCUCGAAAUGCGAGGCAUAGGUCGGAACACUGUCAACGACCCUCCAGAAAAUCUGAAAAAAUUCAGAUCAUAGAUCAAACAUUCGAAUCUUGCAAUUUGCACAAGUCCAGUGUGCUACAAACGUGGUCACUAGAUGCUCAUAUGUCGUCUACAGUGAAGAUAAUAAAAUCAGCGCCUUAUCUUCGUCAUCCAGAUUGACUCCGAUGCUAGUCAACUGGGCCACCACCUUGUUGAACUCGUUCAGAUGCUCGUGUAGGCUCGCCGCUUCUUGCAUCUGCAGUGUAAACAGUCGCUGCUUCAGAUACAUUCUAUUCGUCAGGGACUUGGCCAUGUACAGAUCUUUCAAUUUCUUCCACAACUUCGCCAGUGUUGUCUCGCUGGCUACGUUGUAAAGAACCUCAUCUGCUAAUGAUAGAUAAAGCGUACUCAGCGCCUUCCGCUCCAUCUUCGUCCAUGCCGCAUCCGUGACCUCCGCCGGCUUCGCCUUUUUUCCGUUCAACGUCUCAUCUAAUUCUUGCUGUAUAAGGAUUGCCCGUAUUUUAAUUUGCCACAAUCCAAAAUUGUUCUUGCCAUCGAACUUUUCGAUUUCGAAUUUUGUGGCCAUCUUCGUCGAUCUCUCCCGCAGAUCAGUAACCUUUAGAUCUGAUACCAAUUGUUGGGAAUCCGGUACUCGCCCCGGUACCGAAUCUUGAGAAUCCACAACAUGCUCCGAUACUGACUACUGUAGAUCCGGUACCGAUUGUUGGGAUUCCGCAACGGAAGCAUCGAAUCGGAUUUUUACCAUAAACCCGUCUCCUCAGCAAAAGCUGAUACAAUCACAAAAGAGAGAAAAACCAAAACAAAAAAUAUGCGGAUAAAAUAAGAUUCAUUAAAUAAGAGAAUAUUACACCUGACUCCUCUUCUACAAUAGAAUAGCCACAACCUGAACCUUCUUUCUUAAAUCUCUUCUACCUUUCUCUUAUCUUUUAUUAAUCUAAAAGACUACUCACUCAUAGACGCACCCGUGUACAAGAUGCAUCCAACUCACUAUCUCUCUCUCUUUUUCUCUCUCUGGUACGGCACCCAAGGCUCCAGCCGUACUCCUUCAAGAGCACACACCUAAUUAAUUAGCCAAUGCAUUAUUUAUAAUGCUCAACUUAAAAUGUACCCAAUCCUAGUAUAUUUAGGAUUCCAACUUUAAUUAAUAUUUAAAUCUAUCUUAAUUAAUCUCGAAUAGAUUUAAAUAUUAUUCAUAAUCUAGUUAUGUUUAUCCUCUAAUUAAUAUGUAAAUCUUAAUUUAUCUCCAAAAAAUUUAAAUAUUAAUUCUUAUCCAAAUAGGAUUCAACUACAAAUCUAACCAAAUCCUAACAUAUUUGAUUAGUAAUUUGUGUGGGGAGAUAAGGGCUUAAUUGCUACUUGUAAGAAGAUAAGGAAGAAGAGUCUUAUUGUGUUUUUGUGAAAGAUAAUAUAUGCUUGUUGAAAAAUAAUAUGGUUUAUUUUCAUGCUCUUCGUUAAUUUAAUUAUUAGUUUCACAUAAAAAUUGAGUUUGUUAAAUCUUAAAUUGCAUUCAAUCUAACAUAGAUACAUAAAAAUUUCAAUAUGAAUGUAAAACUUUAGUUUUACUGCUGCUAAUUCUAAUACAUAAUGAUAAGUACAUAUUAGUGUAUACUGUUAUUUGAAUAAUAUUGAAUAUUUAUAUUUGAUUCAUAGUCGAAUCCAAAGAAAUAUCCGGCUAUCUGAAUCUUUAUGUAGCUGAUAUGAUAACGAAAAUUUAGCAUCCAAUACAUAUCAGCAUCCAAAUUUGUAUACGAAAAAAGAAAAAAGAAAAAAGAAUAAAGAAUGAGUAUAUGGCUUCAUCAAAUAUCCAGUCAUAUCCAAUCUGUUUUCACCCUUACCUUAAACUUGAAAUUAAAAUUAUGAAUAAAUUUAAUUCAGAUUGUAAUUCUUGUGUUCAAAUUGGAACUCAAAAGUGUAAAUUAGUUCUAUAUUUUGAAUUCAAGUUUCCAUUUAAAUUGCGACUAACCAAUUUAGAAUUAUAAUUUUAAUUUGGAGUUUUAACUAAAUUUGAAUUCUAUGUUUAAACUUAUAUUAUUAUGUUCUGAUUUUAUAAGCUAAAUUUUUAAAUUUUAUGUUAUAUUUUAAUUUUUAAACUUGCAUUUUAUUUUAAAUAUUUUUCUUGCGAUAACUAAAUUUUUUUUUCAUCUCAACCAAACAAUAAAAAUAGAAAUGAACUCUUCUUAGGCUUCGUUUGAGAUUGCGGGGACAUUGCACGUGCGGUGAGAAACAACGAUGAGAAAAUAUUCUGAUUGUUUCUGUACGUAAUAUUGCGUUUCGCAUACUGCGGUUAGUUGGUUACGAUAUAUUUUCUGCGGUCCCAUCGGAGAACGCAAAAAUAUAUUUCUACAUUCUUUUUCUUUUUCUACGGUCCCAUCGGAGAACGCAAAAGUAUACUCCUUCUCAACUCUAUUCUAUCUAAUAGCGUUAGAUCCACCUCAAUAUCAAAUUAAGCCUUAUUUCGAUUAUCCUUGUAAAUCAAACAUACGAGAAGAUUUCAGUGUUCUAUUUCCAAUUCCAGACCAUUCGGAUUAUGAUUUGAACCAAACGCGCCCUUAAAAUUUGUACAGUCAAGAUAUGCAAACCACAAAAGCAGUAAAUGGAGGAAUAGUAAUUCCGCUAAGUAAACGAUGUCGAAAAAAACUAAAAUUUUAUUUCUAAGAGCUUCAUAUACCUUACAUCAUAUUUAACGGUGUGAAUCGUUAAUUUGAACACCUUAAGAUCGAAAACAAGACUAUAGUACCGAAACUCCGAUACUGUAGAUAGUAUAGUAGCCUAAUUCUAUAUGUAUAUAUAUAUUGAUAAUGAAGCACAGCCUAAAUACAGAUACAUUAUACACUAUAACUAUGAAGAAACAUAUAUAAUGGCAACUGCUCAAACACUAAUAAAGGAUUAAAAAAAAAUCACAAAUGGAACAAUAAGCACAAGAAUAGUUGGCACCCAGACACUAUAAUGAUGCUAAAUAAUUGAGAGUGCAUAGAUAUAACUGUUACACGCUCGCUAAAUAAUCCCGCAAAAAUAUUCAGUUUCAUCUCAUAAAUACAGUUCAACCAUAAAUACUUCAGUCGACGAUAGAGCCCAUUCAUAUGAAAAUAGUCCAUCCGUAACAUAUUCCACAUCGCUCGCACAAGUAAUCCGAUUCAUGACACGAUUUCAAGCUUUUCCCUGCAAUAAAGAUAAGACAUUAGCUUCCGCAAUGUGUUAUCUAGAAGUUAUUCAUAUUCUUUCCAUCAAUCUGAAAAGAACCAUCGCAUGUGUCAUCAAAAAGUUUUUACUGUGAUCUACGAUGAUUGAUUUAUAUCAAAUAAAUAAAUUGAUACUUAAUCUACUAGAACAAUUUGAUGUAUCUUAAAUAUUCAUUUAGGGGCUUGCAGGAGCUUGAAGCCGCAAGAUAACUAUAAAAGGUUCAAGCACAGAUAACAGCGAACAGAAAAGACCAUAAAUCCUCCUCCACUCAUGCUUUUCUCAUCAAGUAUUGUACUAUGCUCUUACGCUAAUUGAAAAAUUGCGCCAUAUCUAAAGUAAAAAGUGAUAACGGGAACUGCUUUUUUUAAAAAAAGUAAACAAAAUUUAUAAUAACUUGUCCAAUGUAAUGUUUCCCCAGUUUUAUAUUCGUCUAGUGUGAAGUUUCUCUUGUUUUAUAUCUAAUUUGGAUUUUAAAUGUAUAGAACUGAAAUUACAUCUCCUAAGUGAAUUGUUGUUUUGAACAUAAGAAGUGGAUUGUGCUUGUUCACCAGCUGACAAAUCCAUCGGGCCAUUUCCCUACAGCAGUUGUGCCGUUAGAGGCUUGUAAGCAAGUCUGCACGAGUGCAGGAAUUCAUGGAUGUUUUGUGGAUCAGAAUAACAUACUCGGUGGAAUGCCCUGAUGUACUUUUUAAGUUAAGAAAACUGAAUGGAGGAUUGAUCCUUUCACAGUUCAUCCCCUGAUGGCAAGGUAGUUCGACUGAAGGCCAGCAGUCCUAGUAACCAACAUGCCUGUGAAUCGUGAUGCACAUCAAACGGGUAAAAAACCAAAGAAUAUAAGGUGUUUAGAUCAAAUGAUCCCAAAAUUCACAAUCUCUAAUGGCUACUAGGGGCCAAUUGCUCAUUUGACGGGGUCAGUUACCCUUAAUUUAAGUUAAAAUGAAGUAUAUAUAUAUAUAGAGUCCGGCUACUAUACUAUUAUGAGUAUGAUCGCCCUCGUACUCAUAAGUUGUUUUCGAUGAUAGAGCUUCCGAAUCGACGAUCCACACCAUUAAACGUUAUCUAGAGCACUUGAAACAUCUAGAAAUCAAAUUUCAUAAUUUUUCGACAUCAUUUCCCCUACGAUCAAAAGCUCACAAAAUUGACAAUUUUUAACACCCGGUAUGGAAUACUUGCUAGUUUAACGGUGUAAAAGAAUCUGAAUAGGUUGAAUUUUUUAUAGAAAAUUCUAUUCACUACAUAGAUAGAGAUCAAUAACUCCGAUCUUAAAUUGAAGGAUCCGAUUAUCCAUUUUUAAGACAUCGUUCGAUUUUGACCGUUCAUUUUAUGCCCGCUUGAUGGACUUUAUUAUGAUUUCGAAAAAUUACGAAAUUUAUUUUCUAGAAGUUUCAAAUACUCUAGAUCAUAUUUAACGGAGUGAUUNUAGAAGCUCCAAACCAAGCUCCAAAGUCCUCUAGGGUUGAAGGUUGAUCCUCAAACAAGCUCCAACCAAGAUCUCACACUUCUCCAAUGAUGGAAAACCCACAAAAAGCAAGAAGGAGAAGAGAAAAGAGAUCAAAACUAGCAAAAAUCCAACAAAAAUGGAGAAGAAACCAUAGGGGAGGAGUUCUCACCUGUUCUCCACUGGUCUAGGGCUCAAAGGAGCUCACAAAGGGGCUGGGGUGACAUAUAUAGAUGUUGUAACAAUUGCAAACACCCCCCUGCCCGAACUGCAGCCCAGACUGCACUGUGUACCCGUACACGGGUUUGUGUACCGAUACACCACCCACGAAAAGCCAACCCGAGCCUCGGGUUUGCUGGGACAUAGCCUGUGUACCGGUACACGGGCCCGCGUACCGGUACAACCAUCACAACGUACCGGUACAGCCAUCAAGUCCGUACCGGUACACUGCCCUCUAAAGGCUACCCGAGAGCUAGCCAAAAAUCCAACUUUUUGGAUUUUGACGCAAGGUUUUAAACCACCAUUCUCGGGACUCGAACCAUAGGUCGGAACACUGUCGACGACCAACCAGAAAAUCUGGAAAAGCUCAUAACCCAUUCAAUCACUCGAACCCAGCAAUUUGUAAGGUCCAGUGCGUCACAAUAUAUCAAGUCACAUCCAAUGUUGAAUUGAGUAAUGUUUCCCUUGACUUCUUUUAUGCUUGUUCAGUUUCUACAAUUCAUUUGGUCGAUGGACAAGACAAAUAAAUUAUAAUUUUCUAAAAUUAUGGUAUUCAAUUCCUAGAAUCUUGAAAUCCUAUAGAUCAUGUUUGACAGAGUAAAUUGUCGAUUUGGAUGCCUAGUCAUUCAGAGUGAUCCGAUUUUACCAACUUACUGAUUAAACCAUAGCUGAGAUACUAAAAUAUACCUCUAUCCUACUACAAUGCCAAUAUAUUACCAAAAUACUCCUAUACUUCUAUAAAUAAAUCAAAACAAAAUGCCACAGCCUCAUCCACGAUUCCGCGCUGAUUUAACAUCCCUCAUUCGAUGUAAUACACUGGACUUUCGCAAAUUGCGGAGUUCGAGUAUGUGGAAUGGUGUGUGGAUCACUCCUACAUGUUCUAAAAGGUUAGAACAAGUUUUUGGAUAAGUUUGAGAGUGAUCGGAAUGUCGGAAACAAGAAAGUGCAUUGCUCGGGCGAAAAUCAGCAUUUUCUGCUUGGUGUACCGGUACAGCCAUUAUGGUGUACCGGUACACAAUGCAGGAACGUGGCAGCUUGGGUAUUUUGGUAAUUUCACAUUUGACACCUACCUAUUUGAUCCCAGCACGACUCUUGGAGCUUGCUGGAGUGUGCUAGAGCCCAGAGAAGCAACCUUGCACCAUUUUCUCUCUCUCUCUCUAGGGUUUUUCUCUCUCUACAAAGAAUUCGCCGAUUUCGCUCGUUUUCGUCGUCGCGCGCAUUCUUCGCUGGUUGCGAGCGUCGCAGCACCUUUGUGCACGUGCAAGAGAGCGUUUUGGAGGGAUUUUCGCAGCCCUGGACCAGUGAGGUGCUGGUUGGAAGCUUGAGAAGGUAAACGACUUGAUUUUUCCNUUAAUCUAAAACUGCCCAUUGACCUGUCCAUACACAUUACACAACUGGCCCACUCUUCUCUAUCUUCAUGUAUACUUCAAUCAUAAUUAAUUUAAACUACACAUCUACGUAUCUAUAUAUAUCACACAAGUGGCCCAUUCUCCCAUUUCUUCGUACAUUGAAAGGUUUGUUACUUGUUCAUAAGCAAAUGACUCUUUUGAAUUCCCGUAAUUCGGAAACUAUUAAUUGCAUUAGUAAAAAGCUAUACCUCAUUCCUCACUUUUCUUCAUCUCUAGAACUGCAGGCUCAACUUAAGGCUUGCUGGUUGGUACCUGCGGCCCCAAGUUCGAAGCUGUAAUAUCCCAGACGAUUCGCAACCGCCAGUGAUGAGAAUUCUCUGAGGUUUGGUCGGCGAUGAGGAUGAUGGGCACUCGCAAUAAGGGAUCAGGUGAGAAGAGAAGGAAUUGAGGUGAAAGAUUAGAGAGGAAAAGAGGAAGAGAUGGGGAUGAGGUAAAGGAAGAAGAAGAGAGAAGGGAAUAGAAGCUUGGGGAAGAAGUACUUGUAAUUAAUUCAAUGUAUCUCUUCCUUACAACUCCUGGCUUAUAUAGCCCCUCCCUAAUUACAUUGUUUAGGUUAAUUAACUAUGCUAAUUAGCUAGUAAUAAACUGUAGCAGCUGCAAAAGAUAUAGUUAUACGUGGGCUUAGUAUAGGCUCCAUCUUCUCGGGCUUGGACCGCCUCUUCUCAGUCCGUGGCUCAACAUGGUCACCGGGGUUGAAUUCGGGUAUGCUCUCUUCCCCUCACCCAAUGCCCGUUCCCCGACCACCCGAUCCAACUUAACCCAAUCCCCUUUAUUGUUUGGGAGCCUCAGAUACUGCAGACCCUCCAGAUUCUUUGACCCUGUUCUACCAUGUUCUUCUAUUUCUCUUGCUACUAUGCCAUUGCGCCUUCGCCGGUCUCCCCCUUUCGGUGCUAGGCCAUUACAGAAGCUUAGUUGCUUCACAUUUCAGCUAAGUUCAUUUCUUAAAAAAAAAUAAAUAAAUAAAAGAAAAUGAACGAAGCUUGUAGUAUGCUACCUUCCUCUCAAAAAGCUUAGGAGGUCAAUAGCACAAUCCGAGUUCACAGUCGAAAGAGCUCUAUUAGAGGUCACCCCUACUCUUUUGAUGUGGUUAAUGAUUAUUAAGUUUCUCAACCUAAUCCUUUCACCUUUUAGAGACUUUAAUCAUUUCAGUUGGUGUUGCACUUCUACUUGUUUCUAGUUCUCAUUAAGAUGUAUUGCUUAUAGAAGAUAGUUUCAAUUUCGCAUGUUCAAAAGUAAGGCUGCAUAGCUCUUGUUUAGAAAGAAGGAGAAGCGCUAGUCCAAGAGUGAAGGAAGGAAAAUCACAGGGAAGAUAUAGCCGCCUUUCCACAGUCAAUGCCAUAUCUAAUUCUAGCUGGCAAACUAACCACUAGAAAAUAUUUUAAACAAGAAAAGUAUCUAGAGUGUCAAACCCACUUCCUCUAUUGCUAAGCAAAAACCAACCUACCACAAGAGAAACAAGAAAUUCUCAAGCUGACCCACUUUCGACAUUCGAAUACCCACUACUCAGGUUUUCACAUCCAAGGACAGGGAAUAAAAGUCAAGAGAAUAGAGAAGUAAUAAAUACUAAAGGGCAUAAACAUAAUCAGCUAAGCUUUACGGUCAAAGGGCACUAGCAUGGGGUGCGCCGAUGUGCCAUUGACACUGCAUAGCACGCCUCGGCAGAACGCCUGUUUUAGAUGUCGGCACAGGUUGCACGGGUUUAUCAGCAUGGGUGGCAUGUGCAGUACGUCCCAACAGUACCAGACCGUGCCGACUGCCACGACAAUACUUUACACGCUAGAAACUUUAUAGUUCUAUACUAAACCAAUUUAUUUAUUUAAAUUAAUAAGCCAAAAUUUGCAAAAAAAAAAAAAAAAAAAAAAAAAAAAAAAAAAAAAAAAAAAAAAAAAAAAAAAAAUUUGCAAAAAAAAAAAAAAAAAAAAAAAAUCUUACUUUUCGUUCACAAAGUCAUUUAUUAGUCCUUUCAUUAAUUUUAAUUGGUCAAUGUUAAAUUCGUCUUUGAGUUUAAAUAAAUAAGGUAAAUUAAUCCGCAGUCACUAGACUCCUAUAAUCCAGAGUCUCUACACUUCUAACUGAAAUUUGAGUUCCCCGAUGAUAAGGGCAUUUCAACUGAGGCACCGAGCUUCAAUUCUACUUCAAAUAAGUAACUUUGUUCAAGUCCAUACCAAUUUUCUCCAAAUAAAAUGACUAGGUGGCAACUAAUUUGGUUGCAAGUUACAACAUCGCCUGGAGGUGCCAUCGCUACUACUUUUAUCUUUUGAAGAUGAUUUUGGCUACUAAUUCACUCGGCAAAUCACCUUUCGAAAUGUUGUAAAAAAAAGCUUAUCUAUAAGCAGUUAAAUCAGUUAAGGGUGGUGAUAGCCACCGUUCCGAGGAGGUAUACGGAGGAAACGUGAUUGAAAUAACAAUUACCGUUGUUCAAUGAUGAUUAAAUGAAACUAAUUAAAAUUUGACAAUCUAAAUGAAACUCCAAACAAAUAGAUAGCAAAACCAGCAUCAAGAAGAAGAAGAAGGCAUGGAUCAAAUUAGUGCGAGUCCGAACCUAAGUUAGGAUAGAGAUGGCGAGAUCCAGACAGGCGGAGGCCAGUUGAAUCGAGGGUCGGGAGAAUGGCAGGGCUGGAGACUGGCAUCUUCGAGGCAGUAUAUCCCGACGUCGCGCCUCGCCAGUCUGACCUCCUCGCUGUACAGCAUGUCCCACCAGUCGUCGGUGAGAUAGACGCAAUUCGGCCGCAGCCCGCGGACAUCUUCGGGCGAGAGCAACAUGGAAGAGCCGAUCCCGAGGAACAGAGCUCGGCCGCCCAGGCUGCUGAUCGGAAUCCAUCGAUUUGUUCCCCAGUCGAGCCUCAUGACCUUGAUUUCGCAAGUCGUCAAGGUUUUCGCGACAUCGUCGAAGUCGAAGUUCCUCCACACCUGCAGGAGAUCGCCGGUGGCGUCGUCGGCGACGAGGUACCUCCUGUACUGUCCUGCGACAAGGGGGUCGAACUGGCUGGCGACGAGCCUGACGACGUCGGCGUAGCCUCCGCUGAGGUCGACGGCGAGCAGAUCCCCAUUGCCCGACAGAGCGAGGAGGCUGCCGCGGCGGAAGGCGACGUCGUGGAAGCGCCAGCCGUCGUCGUGGAGGCGCCACCUGUCCGCCCCCGCGGUGGUGAACGCGAGCUUCGACGCGAUGCCGUAAAGGGCGACGACGGUGAGGGGGCCGCCGGCGGCGGGGCUGGAGGAGAAGGCGACCUUGUCGAAGGAAAGGCCACGGAACUCCUCGGGCUUGUAGUGGAAGUAGUAGUCGGUGGGGUCGGAGAAGUGGAAGUAGGAGGCUACGGAGCCGUCGGGGGCGUAGGAGGGGUGGAUGUCGGGGAGGGUGGUGAUGGAGGGUAGGGGGAUUUCUUGCCCGGUGAGGGGGUUGAGGAGGGCGGGCUCGGAGAAGGGGUCGAGGGUGGCCAGCCAGCCGUGCUGGGAGCCGACGCAGUACUUGCCGCGGAGGCCGGGGACGGGCAGGCGGUGGAGCGUCUGGCCGGGGAGGCCGAGGAAGGUGAACUCGUCGCUGCGCUCGCCGUCGUCGUCGCCGCCGCCGCCGAGGAGAAGGAGGUAGGGGACGUGAGGGGACGGCGGGACGCCGGACACCGAGUGGGCCCAGAGCCGGCAGACCUUGCGGAAGGCCAUGUAGUCGAUCGCCGUCAGACGCGCCGCGAUGGCCGCCAGGACGCCCGACGAAAGGUCCGUCCAGUCCCUCGCCAUCGUGCGCACCACAAAGUACCUAACGUGAAGCGCCUGCUCGUCUUCAGAUUUGCGAAUUGAGACCACCCAACUCAACUCGACUCCUCUCUCUCUCUAUAUAUCUAAAUAAUUAAUACUAGUAAUCCUAUUCGAUCCUAUUCGGAUUCGUAUUAUAGGUCUACUCAAAAUGGAUGUUUAGAUUCCGAUAUAUUAUUAUUACGAAUAAUUAUCUAUAUACCCUUCGAAAUUUUAAAAAUAUCUAGUUUAUCCUUAUUUUUUUCUUUCUCAUAUAUAUCUCUCCUAUGUUCCCAAAAUCCCACGUUAUUAUGAAAUAUCUCUAUAGUUAGCACCGUUAAGUUAACUUGACGUGAGUUAAAUAUCUACAAAAGUUUUUUAAAAAAUCAAAAUAACUUUUUUGCUCUUAACUUAGGAGCAAAUAAGAAAUAUUGUUGAUAAUAGAAGGGUAUAUUUGAAAGGGCAAUUUCAUACAGAUAAGCUAUUGCUAAUAUUUUAUUAACAGAAUUUAACUCUGGGAGUAUAUUUGAAAUAGGUUGGAAUGUAAAAAGAGUAUUUUCAAUAUUAGCAUUAAGUGGGGUAAAUUAGAAAGUCGGAAACUUGUUAGGGGUAUAUAAGCAAUUAUUAUUAUUAUUAUUUUAUUAUUAUUAUUAUUAUUAUAUUAAAAAAACUUGUAUAAUCUGCCUAAAUUCUUAGUAUAUUGUUUAGUUCAAAAAUAAGAUAAUCUUACCUAUAGGAGAAGCAAAAAUUAAAAUAAUUUUUUAUUUAGAUGAGAAUUGGAUUAUUCAAAGAGAUAAGAAAAAUACUUUCCGAUGGUUCGAUUAGAAUAAUAGGAAUAACAUUUAUUAUAACUACAAAAUAAUAAUUUUUAUUUUAUUAAAAUAAUAAGAAUAGAAUUAUUAAUAAAAUAAUAUUUUAAGAAGUUUGUUAAUUAAUUAACUAGGAAUAUUGUAAAAGGAGAUGGAGAAGCAUGUUAAUUAGUUAAUUAAUUAUAAAAAAUAAAUUAAAUAGGUUAACUAAUUAAUUAAUUAUUUAGUAAGUGACAUAUUUACAUAAUAAAUUAAUUAGUAUAAUUUAAAAUAUUUAUUAGGAUAGUUUUCAGUUAUAAAUACGAUCCAGUUUUCCACCAUUAGAUCUCCUUUUUUUUAUCCAUUACAUCUUUUAGAUCAUGCUAUUAUGCCAACCACCCAACAAACCCUAUACAAGAUCAGCUAUAAGAUUUUACUGUUAUGUAUGUGCUAUCAAAGUUACAAUUUAUAUGCAUGUAUGUGCUAUCAAAGUUACAAUUUAUCAAUUACAUCCUUUAGAUCAUGCUAUUACUCCUGAACUGUCCGCUCACCCUGCUGGAUUCUCUUCAAAUCCUCCUCGAUCUUCUGUUUCAUACUGUUGGGAAAAUACAUCCCAUACAGCAUUCCACAGAACUCAUCCCACCUCAACUGCGUCGCCACCAGUCCCUGGUCUCGCCUCGCUCUCCGCCACCAAUCAUGUGCAUCAUCGGAUAGACAGUGUACUCCCAGAGGUAUCUACUCCCCCUCUGGAACGAAUAGAUCCUCAAAUAACUUCUCCAUCGCACUGACCCAUCCCUCAACAAUCGAGGCCUCAGUGCCUCUGCCAUCGAAGAUCGGUGGAUCAAAUCGGCGAAAACGAGCUAACAUCUCCGUCCACCGCUCCUGCUCGGCCUUAGUCAACAGUACUGGCCCCUAGCAGGCGCAACUGGCGCUACUGGAACUGCUGCCGAUGGAGGAACUGCUGCAGCUGGUGCUGUCACUGGAGUAGUCGGGGGUGGAACUGGCGACUCUGGUGGCCUCGGUACAGAACUCUGGGGCGCAACCAACCUCUUGCACAUCCUCUCCAAUAACUCCCCCUGCCGUCUCGUCACCUCUGUCAGAGCGGCUAACUGUGCACUCAAAUCCGGGGAUGCACUCGCCUCCGGUCGGGCCCUCUGCUCCACAACUGGGGGUGCACUCGCCUCUGCCUGCUCCGGCAUCUCCGGAGAUCUAGCACGAUCCUGCGCCAACUGCGCACGCUCCCGCAACGACGGUCGGCCUCAGCGACGAUACAUAGCUGUAAAGAACAAAACAGGGGUCAGAUACAAAAAAACACUCUCGACCCAAUCAAACGAAAGUCUAGAAGGCGGCCCCUGUUUCUCCUCAAAAUUAUGUCGUCUGCAGCCAACAUAAUUUUUCAGGACAAAACAGGAACUCCUCCAAUCACUCACUCCACUCUAGGAGGAGUUAGAACCACAAAUCGUUGACUUUCGCGAUAAAUCAUGCCUCUCGCGUCUUGCCUUCCUAAGGUUUGCCAAACUUAGGAUUUCUAGGUCCCAACGACCUACAACUAAGCUCUGAUACCAACUUAAUCUGUCACGCCCCGAACUACACGUUCCCCGGGCGCGCCGACAAAUCCGCCGUAUACAAAAGAAUUUUUCCUGUAUACGAAGCGAUAGCUGUACCUAUAAAUCAUACGAUACAACAAACAGUAGUAUAGAGCUGCUAGAAGAAACAGAAGAAAUACCAAACUAAGUUCCAUAUAUAUAAACCAAAAUCCAAGAUACAAAAACUACUCGCACUGGCGAGUUAAAGAUAGGUAUGUACAUAAACUCCAUCAAAACAACUACCUGCAGAAGGGCACCUCUAGCUCGGCUCGUCGGGUAGGGCUCUAACUCGCGACGCCCUUGCCUCGAUCCAGAUCAGCAAUAGCAGCAGCCGAAGACGAUGGCUCUGCAAAAGAUGAAGUAACAACAGGGCGUUAGAACUACUGUAAAAAUAAGUAGUCCUCAAUGGGUACCGCCCAAAACAAUAUCGGUCCACCCACUAAGUCUACAGAAGGGAGCAAGAAUAGUAGUAAAUGCAGGAAUAAAGUCUACCGCUAUCAAACACUACACUAUCAUGCUCUACACCGACCAACUGUAGAAAAAUAUUCAACCUGACCCAAUCCAAUCGGGACUGUAAGCAUACCCGUCCCCGGGACUGUGAAUACACCCGUCCCUGCCCCGUUGCGACUAUCGAGCUCUAUCCACACUAACUAGUCCUUGGAGAGCAAGUCCAACUGGCAUGAGCGACACCAAAGCGAAAGCACAUAGCCUGACUCCGGAGUGGCACUCGUGGGCGCUACCCAACCGAGUAUGCAGCGUAUCUCUGUCGAGCUCAAUCAGGCUCCAACUAGCCAAAGUCAAGUGAACAAGGUCAAAACAGGUCUACAAACCAAACCCACGUUCCCUCGGCACAAUCUGUGACCAAAACAAGAAUCUGGGUCCACCGCUAACCCGAACGGCACCCAACGACCCGAAACAGCCUAAACUCUGCUGAAAAAUAAGCUCGGCAUCCCAGCACGAGCGUAAAUGCCUUCUAAACUACCCCAAGUAUCCAUCGCACUAAUACUGCAACGAUAUAAUCGAAUCUCGGCUCCUAGAGCUAAAUCUGGUAGUUUAAGCAUAUGACGGAUCAAAACGCAUGUUUUCUCCUAAGUCGAAUUUCAAGUCCAACAUGUAUAAUAUAAACAUUCAUUUCAGCAUGCUUUUAUAUUCAUAUUACAUCCAAAAUGCUAAUCGAUGAAUUAAAGCAUGAUAUACAAAAAUCGAACUAUACACGUCGACUAAACAUGCACUUAGGAGCGAAACCGAUGAUACACCCACCUUUAGUGAAAAUCCUGGCAGCAAGAGGGUCUCGGAUCACAAGCAACACUGCUGGAAACACCUCCAAACCAGCAACAAAGCCCCUCAAGAUCUGGAUAUAACAAUUCACCCAAAAUCCAAUAAAAUUCAUCAAUUUCAGCCUUAAGCUUAGGAUUUCUCAAUUCCAAUGUCAAAACUCACCUAAUGAUCUCCAAAUCAGGUGAGAACAAUUCCAAAACCAGCAAAUACUGAGAGGUGAUCAAACUCAGGUCCAAAAUCCUACUUCCAACAAAGAUAGCAUCAAGAAAAGUUCAAAAAUCCCAUUUUCAGCUCAAAGUCAAUAGCAGUCUAGAAAAACUUCAAUUCGACCAAGCUAACCUCAACCAAAAUCUACAAUUCAGGGCUUCGUGGAUUCCUCUGGAAGUCUAGAAUCCAGCAAACCAAGUUUCGUCGAAAUCCGACCUUCCUACGUCGCGCACGAGCCAAAACACUGGAGGUCGUCGCUGAAGAACUGCAGAAUCAGCACUCCAUCAAGCUGGAUCAAUGGAAAUUUGAUGCAAUUUGAGGCAAAUCCGAGUGUUGAGAUGCUAAAAGGGACUUCUCUGUGAAGAAGGGAAGGAAAAAGCUCACCAGGGUCACCUUCCAUCUAUUUAUAGGCUGCUGGAGGAAUAAGAUAAGCCCCAAGAGAAACAGCUGCUAUCCAGUACUCAUGCAGAAUCGGGCGUUUCCGGGCGCCCGGAACCAUGUUCUGGGCGACCAGAACAUCCCGACUGCACAAAACGGGCUCCUCGGACUCUCCGCUCGCGGUGUGCUGCACCCGUAAAUGGCUCCGGCGGAACUCACCUACCGCCCUGCCACGCGUCGAAGCAAGCGGUAUUCACGAUGUCGAAUUUCCAGACCCACUUCUGGGCGCCCGGAACUUGGGAUCCGAAUUGGCUUCCAGUUUCAGUUAAAUUCAACACUCGUUUCUGGGCGACCCUAAAAAUGUUCUGGGCGCCCGAAACUGGCAAAACUCCAGUUUUGCUUAAUUGAGUGCGUCGAGUCCAAUUUUGCAUCCAAUUCGUACGGAAUUGACUGCGACUCAGUCCGACACUUUCCAGAGAUGUCGACCAGUCACUAAUACUGAAGUCAAUCCUAUCCAAAUGUCAGGAACACUACAAUAUACAUAUAUAUAUAUGUAUAUGUAUAUAUAUAUAUAUAUAUAUAUACUAUAUAUAUAUAUUAUAUAUAUUAUAUAAUGAGAGUUCCGGCUACUAUCUAUUAAUAGCAGCAAGUACUUGUGUGCUACCAAGUUUCCUGCCGUUAGAUUCUACCUUUUGAUCAUGUUUGUUCACCCGUUAGAUCAUACUUCUCAAGCCAAGUUGUUUUUUCUUGAUGUUGGGUGCUUCGAAUCGACGAUUGGCUCAUGAGUUGAUCUAGAGUAUUUGAAGUAUCCUAUAAAAAUAAUUUUUCGAUUUUCGAUAUCAUUUGCCUAGUGAUCCCAAGGAGCUCCAAAAUCAUCGAGAUUGAAAAUAAAAAUCUCCAAAAUGUGAUGGAAUGACAUUAAAAUUUAGAUUCAAGAAUUGAUCUUGUUUUAUAUGGCUAUAAAAAAUUUUCUAAUCAAAUUUUUCAGCUGAUUUGGAUAUUCAUACACUGUUAAAUCGUUGCAAAAGGCUUACCAGCCGGCCAUUAAAAUUAUUGAUUUGAGGCCCUUCAACAUCACUAAGGAAAAUGAUAAUUGAAAAAAUACAAAAGUUAUUUUCUAGGUACUUCAAAUACUCUAGAUCAACUCUCAAACGAGAGCGCGAAUCGUCGAUUCGACAAGUUCGAAAUGCGAAAAACACUUGAAACGCACGGAGGGCUCCGUGCUUCCAUAAGCAUACCAGCCCACUCUAUAUAUAUAUUAUAUAGGUACAUAUAGAGUGCAGCUAGAAUAUCUCUAAUAGUCCCUAAUGUAUGUUGUGUCUUUUUGAUUUUUAUGUCAUGAUAUGUGUUAGUAUGUUAUUGGUAUAUGAUGGUAAGGUGGUGGAGAGUAGAAUAGUGUUUGCAUCCAAAGUUUAUUUAAGUAAAUUCAAGGAGUAGACUCAAGGGAUAGAAAUUAGAAGCACCAAGGGCUUGAUGCUUCUAAAAAGUAUUCUAGCUCUAAAAUAUGAUAUAAUUAUAUUAUAAAAGUAUAUAUAUAUAUAUAUAUAUAGAGAGAGAGAGAGAGGAGAGAGAGAGAGAGUUGAGCUAGAAUACUAUCGGUAGUAAACGAGCCGUUUUACUACCGAUUUGUUUUCGAUGAUAGAGCUUCCAAAUUGACGAUCAACUCUGUUAAAUAUGAUCUAAACCAUUUAAACUACCUAGAAAUCAAAUUUCACGCACUUUCGAUAUUGUUUUUUUAUCCAUCAAUAAAAGUGAACAGAAAAAUGAAUGGCUGAAAAUGAAUUACUCUUUAAAAAAUGAUGAUAGGAGUCUUGUAAUCAAGAUCAAGAGUAUAGAUAUUAUUUUAAAUAGUUUAAAGAAUUUUCUAACAAAAAUUCAUUUGAUUUGGAUAUCUUUACGCCGUUAAACGAGAAAACGCUUCUUAUCGACCAUUAAAAUUACAAAUUUUGAAACCCUUUGAUCGUUAGGCAAAUGAUGUCGAAAAGAUUUGAAAUUUGAUUUCUAAACACUUCAAGUGGUAUAGAUCAUGUUCAACGGAGCCGAUCGUCAAUUUGGACUUUGGUUUGGAUUAGUUUUUUUUUUUAUUUGGUGCUGGUCUAUAUGAGGAGAUCCAUGUAGUUUGGAGUGUGGGUUUGAACUUUGGUUCUUAAGUUUCAUGAAGAUCUGAAUUGGUUUUGAUAAAUUCUUAGUCCAGGCUUGAUCUGAUUUUGGCAUUUUUUUUUAUGGUCUAGUUUGGGUUAGAUUUGUAUUCAAACUUGGGCCUGGGCUUGGUAUGGUUUUAUGUAAUUCAAGUUAAGGUUCAAUUUUGCUAUGGAUCCAGACAUGGACUAAAUUCGGGCCCAUAUAGUUUGCAUUCAGGCAUGGGCUAAAUUCAGGCCCAUAUAGUAUGGAUUCUUCAGGUUUAGGGCUAAAUUGUAUUUAAGUUCUGGAUGUGGGCUCAGGCUCAAUUUAGGCCCAGAUGGCUUAGGUCCAUGUUUUCUUUGGGCAAGCUACAAAAUUGGACUCAAAUUCAAGUUUGGGCUGAACUUGGGUCAUGUGAUUUAGAUUUAAAUUUGAGGUGAGUACACCUUGGUCCCAUACGAGAGAUUUUUUUUAUUUUGAGGUGGUUAGUUUGAGAUUAUUUGGGACUUUUUCGAGAUCAAAAUAUUAACCUCAAAAUUUUAAAUAUUUGAUUCAGAAUCAAAUUCAAUGCUUAAAAUUUUGAAUGCACUUUUUUAAAUUUUCAAAUUCUCAGUUAUGAGUAACGAAAAUUCAACUCACAUUAAUUAUAAUGAAAAGAUUAAAAUCAACUUCAACAUCAUGACUUAAUUUAAUUUGGAGCAUAAAGCAUCCAAUGCGAUUAAAUCUCAAUUUGGUCUAAUUUGGUCAAAUCGAGAGGUUCGACUCUGGAUAGAAUCAAGGGGGGGUCGAACAUCCCGUUGUUUUUCCAAUAAAAGGACGAUGAAAAGAGUAACAAUCGGUAACCCGAUUGAUUUCUUUUGCCUCCCAAUUAUGAGAGCAUUUUUCUCUCUUUAUCUUCUUUGAAGGUAUAGAACAACAAAUAUGGAUAAUCCUUUUUUGCCUCUUUUAUAUUCAUGGGACAACUAAGGUGGAAAAAUUCCCUCCUUGCCUCCCUUUUAGUAACAAAGCUCCUCUUUCCUAAUUGGAGGAGUAAUUUCUCUCUCUCUUUUGGUAACAUUUUUUUUUUUUUUUUACAAAGAGAAGAGCACUGCUCUCUCUCUUUUGAUGACACAUUUUUUUUUAUAAAGAGAAGAGCACCGCUUUCUCUCUCUAUAUGCAGCUUAGGUUCGCCGUUGAAAAAUGCAUCUUGGGCAUUUCAUCGAAUAGUUGGUAGGCAUGGUGCGUUGUGCAACACCGGUCUCAAGAUUGCAUUGGAGUUGCAGCAGAGUUGCAGAUAGAGGUCACAACAGAGUUGGAGGUCGCGGCUACGACAGAGUUGAUGCAUCGGCAAUGUCGAGGGUGAAGGCCGUCACGGCAUGUAAGUUGAGGCGCAACGGCAUUAGAGAUGGGGUUGGAAAGCAUGCAGGUUGGUGUCGAGGGCGGUGGACUCGGGCACUCCAUUGACGGCGGUGUUGAGCUCAACCAUCUUUGCCUUGCUCGCACGAGAUGAUGCGAUUACGAUAAUAUGAGAAUUGAGGCUAUGGCAUGCAACCAUGAUAGAGAGAGAGGACUUUUUUUUAGAAGAGAGAGAGAACUUGUUUUUUUUAAAAGAGAGAGAAGACUUUUUUUUUUAUAAAAGAGAGAGAGCUUUGUCAUGAAGCAUCAAUAGGAAAAAAAAUUGUUAUUAUUACCUAUUUUUCUUCUUCUCUUUCGUGAAGAGAGAAUAGGUAAUAGGAUGUGUGUUUUUUUUUGUUGAGAAUAGGUUAGAAAGUAGAUUCAAAAGUAGGUUCCAAAGUAGGUUUUUUUUGUGGGUGAUAUUUAUGGGCCAAGUUAUAACUACUUGGGAUUUUUUUUUUGAAGAACGUGCAUAUGGUGGGGUUGUGGGAGGUGUGGGAAGUUGAGAUAUUUUGGCCUCUUUUGUACGGUUAUGGGAUCAUGGAUAUGAUGAUAUUGCAAAUUAGCCCCUCUUAUUUGUUUAUAUUAUUUUUUUUACUUUAGUUAUAGUAUUUUAAAAGUAAAUAAAAUAAAAUAGUAAAAACUAAUAUUUUUUUAAAAUAUGUAUAUAGAUACGCAUGUGUUUACUAAUUUUUUUACUUUAUUUUAUUUUAUUUUUUUACAAAGCAAAAUAUUUAUAUGUUUUUAUUGAAGUGGAGCACCUCACAAAUAUAUAAAGGCAAAGGACUAAUUUGCUAAUUUGUAUAUAUGGAAUAGCCAUGUGCCUAAGAGAGAUAUUAGCGUUCUCUCUUUUCCUUUUUUUCAGUAGUCUAUGCACCUAGUGCAUAGAUUAACCUAUGCACCAUGUUCCUAAAUUUUCUACCAUUCAAAAGUUGGAUUCAAAUUUUCUCUCUCUUUUUUUUUUAUGCUUUAACACCAUUCAAUCGAGGGUUCCAUCUCCCGCCGGCUACCCUCACGCCUUCCGCUGUGGGAGUCCAUCGUCGCGAGGAAGCACGUUCCGAGGAAUAUCUUAGUGGAGGGCUCCCGCCGUCGUCGGCCUCCACCGUGGGGUUCGACCUUCAAGAAGCACUUUCCGGGGAACUGAAUGGCGAGGUCCCGCCGCCGUUGGCCUCCACCGUGGGGGCCGACCUUCAAGAAGCAUUUUUUGGAGAACUGAAUGGAGAGGUCCUGCACCAUCGGCCUCCACCGUGGGGGCCGAACAUCAAGAACCUUUCAAUUGAGGGUCUCCGAAGUGCUCCACCUUGACGGCCGACCUCCAAGUGCUCCCCGACAAAACUUUCAGUAGAGGCCUGUCUCUCCACUCAAUCUGUCGUCGCUGAUGGCGAAACUGUCCGCUUCUAGAGUCCACCGCCAAGGGUGGCCGGCCAACCUUCGGAGAUGGACUCUCCACCCCGUCAUUGUCCUACUGCAGCAACCGACACCGCUGUGGAUGCUGCCCUCCAUAUCAAGGGCCCCUCCUCAAAGGUGACAGGCCAGCCUCCGGAGAUUCCCUGGCGGUUCACAAGUCCUCACCCUCCUCCCGAUACAGCGAAACCUCUCUCUUGCCAAUGUCCCACCAAGAUGCCCCCCUUUCCUUCAUCUUCGUCUUCAAAGCCCCAAUGCAUAGUCUGUCGAGCAGCAGCAGAUGCCACUCCCUAAUGCAGUGACUUCCACCCUAGGGUAUCUCCAAAUCUGCCAAAGUCUACCACACCGCCUAUGCUGUUGCCUGCGCUGCCUGUUUGGCCGACUCAUACCAGUUACAGUGAGGACCGCCAUGAUGGGAGCAGUGUCAACGACGGCGGUGGCGCUGUUGAUGAUGGCGGCGGCGCCGACGGCGAUGGCGGUUGCGCCGACGACGAUAGUGGCAGUUCUAGUGAUUAUGUUGGUGGCGCGAAGAAUGAUAGUGGUAGCAGCACGACAUCAAACAACGAGGUAAGAAAUUUUAUCUUGGCCUUUUACCUCAUAGCUCCUUACAACACUAUGAAAUUAGAAUAAGUAUAUCUAGAUAGAUAAUUGUUAUUACACGUGUAUUUCCAGGUAUAAUUAGAAGUAAGAAGUUUGAUUUUUGCCCUUUGAAAGAUCUCGACAUCUAUAAUUUGAUAGGAUAAUAGGAUAACAUAAUUUAGGUAUGACCUUAUAUAGAUACAUAAAUAUCUCAUUACGAACAGUCAUUUAAUUUAAUUAAGCAGUUGUAGUAUAGUGUAGAUGAGAAAUGUGGUCAGACGUCUAGAAUGUAUUAAUAUAUUCCACUUUCUAUCUAAAUUUUUUGGAUAUGAUAAGUCACCUUAUGAUCCUGUUUGGAUGCAUGAAUAUUUUGUUCCAUAUAUCCUCUUAGUUUAUUGAAGAAAUUUGUACAAUUGGAUGAUGAGAAGUAUAAUCAAAUAUUCGGUCUUCAAUUUAAUUUUUCAAAAUAAAUAUAGCUGAAAUAUGCUAUCCUAAAAUCAUAGAUAGCAAGACCUUUCGGCAAUGUUUGGAUGCAUGAAUAUUUUGUUUGGUAUGUCUUUAUGAUUUACUCAAGGCCUUGUUUAGAUGCUGAUGUAGGACAAUUUAGGGAGUUUAGAGGUUUUUGAGAAUUGCUUAAAGAUACAGAUCGGGCGAUUCGAAGAAAUCAAACUAAAAAUAAAUAAACGAUAAAUCCGAAAAUUCGAAAACUCAAAUAAGAGAUUAGUUAGGGAAAAUUCACACCUUCAAGUUUCCACAAGGUCGGAUCCAUUGCAUGCAGGGGGCAAGUCAGUUUAACUUUUUUCGAUCAUUGGAUCUUAGCCACUUUGUUAGAACUUCUAGAAUAGUGAAAAAAAGAGUUAGGGUAAGGGUUUAGAAAGGAUGGAAUUAGGAAAUAGAGUAAUAGAAAAUUAGGGUUUAGAAUUAUCUGCAGAAAGAAUAGAGAAAUCGAAGUUAGUUUUUGUGUCAUUUUUGCGCCAAAAAUACUCUAAUGCUCCUCAAACUCAACCAAAAUAAUUUGAAUAAUAUUAGAUGCUAUUUUUCACACUGGAACUUUGUUGUUUGCAAAAGUUUAGUGUACUACACGCCGCCGGCAAGAUGCUUCCGGCUAGCGCGAGGAAGAAGCAUAUCUGGUCGAGACGUAAAUAUGAGGGCCCCAAAUAUACUAUCCUACCAAAUUAUGGAUUUUGAGACCUCUCAAGGAGCAAAUAUCAAAGUCCUAGCUUUCAACGUUGUCUGAAAAUUCUCACGGAAUAAGUUAUCAUCUGAUAUCCAAACAUGGCCAUAGAGGUUAUAGUAAUCAAAUAAUUCUUUUCUCUUUGUGGUAUGGAUUUAAUAUCCGUUAUUAAUCUGAUAUAUUUUUUCUUUAUUUAGAUAAUGCAAGAUAAACUGAUUCCCUUGUAUAACGACUCUCGAGUGGUAUACUGCUUUGCUUGCGGACUCAAAGGAAAGGUAGGAAACGAUAUGUAUCCAUCAAUUCAUUUGAGGACCACAACAAAUUGCAUAGAAAUUUGAAGUAUGAGUGCAAUGAAUGCUAGAAUAAAUUUCAGGCACAAGCGACAUGGAAAUCCAUAAGGAUCUAUACCAUAGGUAGGAAUUCAAUUUUUUUUUUCAAUUGUAUACUCCUCUUACUUUCAGCGAUGUAAAUUCUCUCAUUGAUAUAUCCCUAUCAGCACCUUUAUUGUAGUGAUUGCUUUUAAAUUAGACGAGCAUCUUUUAAGACACUGUAAAUUUGUACAAGAUGUCAUGAUUGGUUGAGUUCGUAUUGAUCCAACAGAAAAAAGAAACAUUAUGAAAGGAUUCAUCUUCCUGGAAAAUAAAUUUAAAAUAGAAAAACUGAAGCUUGGUCAGUAUUAAUGAUUCUCUUGUACGUUUAGAGCUGUAAAUAAGUUGGGCAUGAGGUGAGCUUAUUAAAUUACUUAUAUUAUUUUAUUAUGAAUGAUGUAUGUUAUUUAUUACAUGAAAAUACUGAAAUCAAAUAUUAUUUAAUAAAAUUGUAUAGCUUUUAAAUAUUAUGAUAAAAUUUAAUUAUUAUAUAAUAGUUUACUAUUUAUAUUAUUUUUAUAUGUUUAAAGGCAUAAUAUAAAUAAUAUUUAUAUUUUAAAAAUAAUUUAGAAUUAUCAGCAUUUACUAAUGCUAGAAUCAACAAUAGAAUACCAAUAUUUAUAUAAUAUUACAAAUUAAUUAAUAAUUAUCAAUAUUUAUUAGUACUGCAAAUGAUUAAAAAAUAUAAGUAUUUAAAUAAUGUUUGUAAUAGUUAUGUAUAGUGACAAUAGUUUAAUGUUACUAAUUAUUUAACAUUAAUGAUAAUCUAUUUAAAUACCGAUAGAAGAUUCACCAACAUGAGCAUAAAAACCAUUAAAAUCUUAAUGUCACUAAUAGUUUUUGUAUCAAUUUUUGAACUUUAGGUAGCAAUAAUCAAAUGUCGCUAAAUAACAUUUUUUUUUACUAAUUUUUAUAGGGAUAAAAAUAAAAAGUUGAACUUCGUAGGGAUAUAUCUGUUAUUCUAUAUGUUUACAUGGAGCUGUAUGUAAUUAUUCCUAAAAUAUUUGAUAAAAUUUGGAUGCACUAAUUAUAAAAAUAAAAAGAUGAUAAAAUUUAGGGAUCUCUUUACAAAAGGAUAAAGUUGAUAGGGCUUUAUAUAUUUGGUAUCAACCAGUGUGGCAUCUUCUGAGGCUAAAACAUCGAGCCUUUUACAAUAACACUCAAAACCCACUGUGGUGAAUUCGUGUUCUCCAUUUCAUGGCGAGUUCGGAUUCCGGCGAGACUUGUGGUUCUCUUCAUCCUAAAAACCCAUGCAAUAACAUUUCUUCCCCCACCGAUGCUAUGCCCUACACGUGGGGGAUCCACUCUCAAGAAGCCCUUCCCAUCACAUGUCUCAACAACAGUUGUCCUUUCGUCUCCCAAUGCCCCCGAUGCCGACUGCAAUGUAUUUUACCGCUGGCGUCAGUUCAUAGGAAACCCUUCCCGACGAACCUCUCAACGGAAGUCUCCUCUCCUACCGCCUACUGUUACGUUUUCCAUCGUGGGCGUCCAGCAUCAUGAGAAACCUUCCAAUGGAGAGCUCUCUUGCCUUCUACCGCCGACAUCCUCCACCGCGGCGGCCGAUCUUCAAGAAGUGCUUUUCGAGAAACAUCUCAAUAGAGGGUUCCCGCCGCCAACACCCUCCACCGUGGGAGUGGACCUUCAAGAAGUGCUUUUCAGGGAACAUCUCAAUGGAAGGCUCCCGUCGAAGUCGCCCUCCACCGUAGGGCCCGAACUUCAAAAAGCGCUUCUUGGAACCUUUUAAUAGAGGGCCGCCAACGCUCUCCACCUUGGUGGCCGACCUCCAAAAUGCACUUCCCAACAAAACUUUCAAUGGAGGACCGUCUCGUCCCCUCAACCCACCGCCACUGAUGUCGAAAUCGUCUGCUUCUAGAGUCCACUACCAAGAAGCUCUCCUUCGAGGAUGGUCGGCCAGCCUUCGGAGAUUCCUUGGUGGUUCGUGGACCCUUGCCCUUUUCAGAUGUGGUGAGGCUUUUCUCUCCCCAUUGUAUUAGGGGCCCCUCCUCAAGGGUGGCAAGCCAGCCUUCGAAGAUUCCCUUGCGGUUUAUGGAUUCUCACCCUCAUCCCGAUGCAGUGAAGUCUUUCUUUUCCCAAUGUUCCACCAUGAUACCUCAUCUUUCUUUAUCGUCAUUUUCUCAGCCCCUGCAUGGUUGCCCCAGUAGCAACCUUCCAAUAUGGGGUCUUCCAUACUUGGGCAUCUACCUUCCCGGAGUCUACCAUACCGCAGGUAUUGUUGCCUGUGCUACCCGUCUGGCCGACUCAGGCCAGUUACAGUGAGGAUGACCGCGGUGAAAGCAGUGUCGACGAUGGUGGUGGCAUUGUUAAUGAUGGUGGUGGUGCCGCCAGCAAUGGUGGCAGUGCUGAUGAUGACAGUGGUGCCUACGACAAUAGUGGCAGUGCAGAUGAUGAUGGUGGUGCCAACGACAAUAGUGGCAUCGAUGACGAUGGUGGUAGUUUUAAUAAUGAUGGUGGCGCCGACGAUAAUAGUGGCAGCUCAGAUGAUUACAUUGGUGGCACUGAUGAUGAUAGUGGCAGCAGCAUGGCGUCAAGCGAUGAGAUAAGAAAUUUUAUUUUGGCUUACCUCAUAGCUCCUUACAACACAAUGAAAUCAGAAUAAAUAUAUCUAGAUAGAUUAUUGUUAUUGUACAUGUAUUUCCUGGUAUAAUUAGAAGUAAGAAGUUUGAUUUUUGCCUCUUGAAAGAUCUUGACAACUAUAAUUUGAUAGGAUAAUAGGAUAACAUAAUUUAGAUACGGAUACAUAAAUAUUUUAUUCCAAUUAAGAAGUUGUAAUAUUUUGUAAAUGAAAAUGUGGUCACACGUCCAAAAUGUAAUAACAUAUUCCAUUUUUUAUUGAAUUUUUUUUCAAUAUGAUAAGUCACCUUAUUACCCUAUUUGGGUAAUGAAUAUUUUGUUCCAUAUGUACUCUAAAUUUACUAAAAAAGUUUGUAUGAUUGGACAAUGAGAAGUAUGAUCAAAUAUUUAGAAUUAUGUAUUAUAUUCGGUCUUUAAGUUUAUUUUUCAGAAUAAAAUAGAUCACAUUAUAGCUGAAAUAUGCUAUCCUAAAAUCAUGGAUAGUAAAGCCUUUCGGCAAUGUUUGGGGGCAUGAAUAUCUUGUUUGGUAUAUCUCUAUGAUUUAGUUAAGGCCUUGUUUGGAUACUGAUGUAGAACAGUUUAGGGGAUUUAGGGAUUUUUGAGAAUUGCUUAAAAAUAAGGAUUGUGCGAUUCCAAGAAAUUAAACUAAAAAUAAAUAAAUGAUAAAUCCGAAAAUUCGAAAACUCAAAUAAGAGAUUAGUUAGGGAAAGAUCACACCUUCGAGUUUCUGCAAGGUUGGAUCCAUCGUAUGCAGGGGGGCGAGUCAUUAACUUCUUUCGUUCAUUGCAUCUUAGCUCUUCUAGAAUAGUGGAAAAAAGAGUUAGGGUUAGGGUUUAGAAAGGGAUGGAAUUAGGAAAUAGGAUAAUAAGAAAUUAGGGUUUAGAAUUAUUUGCAAAAAGAAAUAGAGAGAUCGAAGGAUUCAACGACGGCUCGUUUCCACGAAGCGGGCUUGGAUCGCAAUCUCGUUAGAUGGUUGUUGCGGCAACGACGAGUCAAGUUCUUCCUUGAGAUGUGAAUCGACUCCUGAGUUGACCCUUGAGUGCUCCACUUACGGAUCAAUGACUCGGUUGAGAAGGGAUCGGUUCAAUCCGGUUCUUAUGGGACUAUUCACAAUUGUUCCAAAUACAAGCUCGGCUGAAUGAGCAAAGUGGUUUGUAUUUAUCAGGAAAAUAGGAAUAUAAGUGCUGUUACAGAGACGAAUCUACUCUUAGGAACACUACCCUACUACGUUUUUAACUAAGCUCUUGAAAAGAAAAUUAACAGAAAAUUAUAUGAAAAUUAACUUCUAGGAAAACUAUAAAUGACGAAAAAAUAAAAUAAAAUUUGAUGUGGUCUCUUACUCGUGUGAAGGACUCAUCUUACAUGCGUGUUUUUUUUUAUUUAUAAUCCCACUUGUCGUUAUCGGGUUAAUCCAAUCGUGGAGGUUUCUUUGGCCACGUUCCUUGUCACGCCUCGAGCCCGGUCCUAUUUGGCCGGUUCGAGCACGUCGAAUAGACGCCGAACGAACAGAGCCUCCCCUGUCCGCCCUAGGCUCAACAACAAGUACAAGUAGACUAUAAAAUUUGCACAUGAGGAAGCAUACAUAAUGACUUACACGAGGGCAAGUAAUAGCCAAAAUGAGAGUACUAUCUAAACAUCAUACAAGUAAUAUGAUUAACUUUAAAUCACAUACAUGCAUUCAAAUUAUAAGUUUUAUUACAUUCUUUGCAUCAUUUCUUCUCUUUACAUCACAUGAUAACCCAAAGUAAAUCUCUUUGCAUUAAAAUAUAAUUCCUUUUACAUCAUUCAUAUUCUUCCAUUAAAACAUCUAUUGUCAUCAAAAUACAAAAGAUGAUGUAAUAGGGUAUGCAACUAGACCAAAAUAUGAAACCAACUUGGGUGGUCUCUAGCUAUGGCGCGAUACCUUUACCGCGAUCAUCUGCCGGCUCGUUCGGUCCCGGCUCUAUGAAAAUAGUAGGGUGAGAACUACAACAAAGUUCCCAGUGGGUUCGGUAACCGACCUCGCCGACUUUCCCACUAGAUCUAAAUCAGGCAUACUAGAAGAAAGAAUAGAUAGUAACCAACUAAUAAAUGCAGCUAAUAUGCCUGAACAAUAUAUAGUCAAUCAUAUGGUCAAUGAAAUGCUCAUGAUGAAUGCAAGUUUGCUUUACACUGUUCAAUCUCGUGGCUAACCCCUCGGGCCCUAAGCCUCCUCCCGCCGGGUUCCAUAACUUACCAACACAAGUCCCUAAUUGCGGGCCCUAAGCUUCCUCCCGCUAGGACUGUCCUCUGGGGGUUCCACAUCCCAGUGAUGACAACUCCGGAGCUCAUUGCUCGAGAGGGAGCGACCUUCCUCAAGCCAAGACUAUAGGCAAGUAUAAUCAAUCCUUAUCUUUAAGGAUACCAAUGCUCAUGUGACCCUUAACUUUAAGGUUUCUAUGUCACAAUGUCACAAUUUCUAUUUAUUUGCAUUCUUUAUCUUUCACUAGUGUCAUAUAUACUACCAUGUUCUUUGUACUCAUCCACUAAUGCCACACUUGUUCUCUGAGUGUUCAACUCUAGCAUUCUUGUCCCAUUAAUGUCACUAUCGUAACACUAGUAUUCAAAACUAUUUAAUGCCACUCUCUACAUUUAUGUCCACAUGUAACUUUUGUUAUCUACAUCAACUAGGUUCUUAAUAGGAUUACACAAGUUCCAACUCUUUUAAAAUCAUUUCUCGUGCAUUUGUACUCACAACAUGCAAAUAAAAGCUCUCAAUUAACCCUAUCAUGCACAAUGCUCAAUAUACACUUAUGCUAAAAAAUGAUACUUUAGACAUAAAAGGAAAUUUAACGUUUUCGGAAUGCACCACCCACCUUAUAUGGUUAUAAGGGUGCUACGGUUCAAUUCUUGAAAAUUUUUGGCGCAUAUUCCGCGUGCUGCGGCUAUCUGUACCAAAAAUGACGUUUUUGUCAAUAUCUUUAUUUAGACCUUUUCGUUUCGUCAAACCGAGCGCUCCAACGCAUCGAAAAUAUCCCUAAUUAAGUUUCCACAAGAUCAAUUUGCCUCGAAAAUGAUCGAAAGUAAAAGCCCCAAAUUUGGUGCCCUAAUAAUGCCAUAUAUAGAUUUUCCUUAGAUUGAUCUUGCAACUAAGCAAAUACUAGCUUAGAAUCAUCUAGGAAGCUCUCUAAUACCAUCUCUAACUCAUUUGAACCAUUCCUAGGGCAUCUAGAACUAACCUUAGAAGUUCACCAUUAGAGCACUUUGAAGAAACCAUAGAUUUCAUGUUUUUCAAGGUCUCUACGAAGCUUCUAGCUUUGUAAGAAGAUCAAAACUCUAUGAUUAAGGGAAUAAAUCCAAACCCUAGAAGUGUUCUUGCAUAAACUCACCUUAGCCCAAAGCACUCCCAAGGUUCACCUUGUAAAAGAGCUCCUUGACCUUCUAAACCUCCAAUCCUUCCUUGAACCUCCUCCAAUCCUUCCCCUCCUUGCUCUAGGGAAUGGUCACUAGAGAGAGAAAGAGAGAAAUGAGGGAGAGAGGGUGAGGUUGCUAUGUAAACAGGGGGAAAGAGGUGAGUUGGGUUAUUUAUAGGUUGUAACAUUAGCAACCAAGCCCUCCCAAAAACCUAUAUUUGCAGUAGACUAAAUCUUUGUUGCCAGACCAAAAUGUACCGGUACACAUGACUCUGUCACCGGUGCACCUUCGCGCAGAGGCAAACCCGAAAGCAGCCCUCUCGGGUUCGCAGCAUUUGUACCGGUACAAACCAUUUUGUACCGGUACACUUCCUGCCUUUCUCAAACCCGAGAGCUAUCUCCCCUCGGUCUGCUGUAUUGUACCGGUACAACAUUAGUGUUGUACCGGUACAAAACGUUCAGAAUGCAGUUUUUGCACUUGUUCGACUUCUCUUCGCGCUGAGCAAUGCUAAAACCCUUCUGACUCUUCUAGAACUCACUUUUAACUCUUCCAAACUUGCUGGAAUGUUAAAUAGAACUUGUCCAAUUAAUUCCUUUGGACACUUUUGUAAUGCACUGGACUUUUGCAAAUUGCGAGGUUUGAGUGAUUGGAUGUGUUCUGAGUUUUUCCAGACUUUCUGGUGGGUCGUUGACAGUGUUCCGACCUAUGGCUCGUAUCCUGAGAAGUGAGAUUUAAAGCUUAGCACCAAAACCCGAAAAAACGGAUUUUUGGUUAAGCUCUCGGGUAGCCUUCAGUGGUCUGUGUACCGAUACAGGGUGAUGGCUAUACCAGUACAGCCAUCAACAUUGGCUGCUUCUCAGCCAACCUGAGGCUCGGGUUUGGCUAUUUCGUGGGAUGUGUACCGGUACGCGAGCCCGUGUACUGGUACGCAGUGGCAAUUUUGAGCAGUUUGAACUGCAGGGGUGUUUUUGCUAUUGUAGCAUCUCUAUAAUACCACCCACGCCUCUUUGCUGGUCUCCUAAGCUGGGAAACACAGAAGGACAAGGUGGGGAGCCCUUCUCUUCUCCUCUUUUGAUUUCCUUCCCUUUUUGCUUGAAUUUUGAAGGUUUAAUCCCUCUCUUUUUCCCUCUUGGUGCAUUUCCACCUUGGGAGAAGCUUGGGAGCUUGGAGUUGAGCUUGUUGGAGGUGUGAUCUUCGACCCUUGUGGGUUUUGAACCUUGUUUGAGGCUUCAUGAGAGGUUAGUUGCUUACUAUUUUUCUUUCUAUCAUGAUUUUCAUGAUUUUUGUAUACAAACCCUAGAAAUGAGGAUUUAGGGUUUGUUUUGGAAAUUUUUGAUCUAGGGCUUUUGGAGCUCAAUCGAUUGGUUUAGAACCUUCCCCUAGGUUGGUUUGGCAGGGAUCUAGCUCCCAUUUGGAGCUUGAAAGGGAUUUUCUACACUUAGAUAAGAUUGUGCCCCUAUCUUGAGUUUGUUAUUGUUUUGAGCUUGUUGUUGUUCGUUUCGUUUGGGUGACACCUCUAGUUUAACCUUUAGGGAGCUAGGAGGCUUGUGGGCAUCUCGCUUCGGCGAAACGAAGGAUUUCAAGAAGACUUGCUGGGUUUGGCCGCACCAAAAUGAGAUAAAAUUCUCAUAUUAUGGUUUUUAUUUAUCGUAAAGUGAAAAUGCAUGUAUAUUCUUACUAGAUAGAAUAUUUGAGAAUUUUAGAAUACUUAAAAUGCACAUGUUAUAUACAAUACAUAUUUGACCUUUAUGUAGUAGAGAGUUUUCAUGUUGGGCUAGGGGCCUACGGUUAGCAUUCUCAUACUUGAUUGUGGUUCACGUUUCAAUUAGUGAAAUUGAUGAGUGUAUUGCAUUUUGGACUAAAUAUGGAUUUAGCAAGCAAAUGUUAUAAAAGGGCAUUAAGUUUGGUAUAUAUAUAUGGACUUAUUAAACUUAUUGUCAUAAUGGGACAUUAGACUUGAAUGAUAAGUGAUUUGCAUGUGCAUGUUAAUAUUAUGAGAGUUAUGUAAGCGGGUAGUCGCAUUGGAAAGUGCAUGCAUGUAGCAUUAUGAGAACUAUGCUAAGUUGACUGUUGCACGUAUUAACCUAUUAUUGAUAGGAUAAGCUAGUGUCAUAAAGUGGCAUUAGGCUUGGAACAUGUGUGAAUCUAAUAAGGUAGUGCCAUAAAAAGGCAUAGAAUGCAAAGUGUGCUUAGAGUAUAGCAAUGUUUAAGUGUCAUAAAGAGGCACUAAACAUAGUGAAUGUUGGAACUUCACCCUGAGACUUGGACUUCGUAAAGCUAAGGUCAUCGACAUAGAAAUUAUUGAACGGUUAAACCUUCACAUUGAGACAUAAUACUAAACCUUUGGGUUGCUAGUGACUGUUACCAUGUUAGAGACAUGAUGAUUGGGUACUUGAGACAGAUCAUGCUUGCUUGCCAUUUGUGCUCAUUCGCACAUGCUUGUACGAGUCGCUCCCUACAAGCCGGCACUUCGGAGUUAGGCUACGCGACUUAUGUUCGCUUGUGCGGUAUCGAGUAGCCUACGGGGCCUGGAGGGAUAGACUCAUUCCUAGAGUGGGAAUGCUGGAGCUACCACUGGCACUUAGGCGGCACAAGCCAGACCUCACCUGUGUAGGUCCUAACUGAGAUUGAACCAGAAUAUUAAACAACAAGUUGAUAAUCACUACUAGACAGGUCAUAGUAGUUGGAUUCCUUGACAUGCUACGGCAUAGGGUUGGACAUUGAGAUACAUAGUGUACUUGACGGUAUCGCUUAUGGCAGUAGUAUACUUGGUUGCCAUGAUAGUACAUACUAGAUAUGUAGUUGGCUUUAGGACAUAUAUCAUACUUCAUUGUAUUACUUGUUGCAUCAUAGCAUACUUGUUUAAGUAUUGGCAUACUGGAUCAUGUAGAGUAGAUGUACUCCAUGUUGACAUUCUACAUACUUGUGGCACAGUAGAGUAGCAUCUUUUUAUUAUGCUUCAUUUACCGCAGUUAAUUUCUGUUAUCUUUAUCUGCUCUAUUUUGGGCCUAGUGGUGCAGUUGGUGCAGGUCAGUAAUUGCCCACUGGGAACUAUAAAUUAUAGUUCUCAUGCCCCCUGUUUUAUGUUUUCUUUCAGAGCCUUCCACUUCGGGAGGGGCUCGGGAUCGUGGGAAAGGUUUCGCCUCGAGCUAGCUAUCGAGGGAUUUGGCGAUAGGUGGUCUAUCUCUCUUCUGUUUUCUCUUGGAGAGGUUGUGAGAGUUUUGUACCUUGUUAUUGAGACCACCCUACUUUUGUAUCUUGAGAGUCAUGAUGUAUUAGUUUACUUUAUGCUUUAGUAGUAUUGUUUUCUUUUGACUCUACCUGAUGUUAGAACCUAGCUGUGUAUUUGUUCUGAUAUCUCUAGAUACUUUCAACUUCUUGCUCAUUUAUUCGUUUUGUUGUAGACGCCUUAUAUGUGCAGGCAUAUGGCAGGUCUCGGCAUGUGCCGGGCGGGCCUACGCUGGGUCUCGGGGCGUGACAACUUUAGUCAAUUUGGCUAAAGUCCAGAUUACUUUACUGUAGUUUCGGUAUGUUACAUUCCUAUUUUCCUGGGUUAUGCUUUGGUCGAUCUUUUGCUAGCCACGAACCUCUUCGUCUAUGUUGUUAACUGCACUCAGCCUAAACGGCACUUCCGUUUUAGGCAUGCUUCUCUCAGCUCUGAGUGUAUUACGUAUCGCUUUAUAUUUUGCUCCGGUCACUUUGUUAUUGCAGCUCGAACUGCUCUACCACGUGGCGCUAAUUUUAUGGUGCCAACAAUGCCCCCCUCCCCGGGAGUCUCUCGAGCAACCGUUUCAGGCAACUGACGUUUGCUCUUAUCAGCGACCGAGAUCAAACAUCGUGGUUUCAAUAGUUGAGAUUCACCACCCCGAGCAGUCAUAUCACUUUUCCCAUCUAACAGCCUGGAAUAGUCGUGCCUUUGGUCAUUCGUACUUAAUUUCGUCCUUCAACGCUUAUAAUUUUCUGCGCUCUUUCGUCUUACUUAGGACAUUAAUUGGGGCAUUUGAUGGCUCUAUGAUAUUUCUGUUAUCAAUUUUCUUUUCACUUUUUCUGAAGUUUUGAUUACAAAUUUGAUAUUGAAGUAUAGUCUCACUAGUAGUGUAUUCCGAUAACGGAAAGAACCACAAGAUUUGGAGGUCACCUCGAUUUUAUUCCUUCCAACUUUUUGUUAUUUUAAGAGUGAUUUUACUUGAUUGGUUGAAUGAAAGUCCAACUGAAACUGAGACUGCAAUUCUUAUUACACUAUUUUUCAUGCACACGAAAAAUUAGUUGUAUACCUACUGUUGUUUGGAUUGACAUGAAUUUUUUUUUAUUAAUAGUCUUAAAAAAUAUUAUAAUUAUAAAAAUAGUCCUAAAAAAAUCUUAUUUAUAAAACUAAAACUAUUUGGUGAAUGAAUUGCCGAUUUUUAAAUAUGAUAAAUAAUUCACCGUUUUCUUGAAAGGAUUAAAGCUAUUUUUAGUAUUUAAUAUUAUACAUUUUUGAAGUUUGGAUGUAGAAAAUAUAUAAAUUAGGAUACAAGCGGUGAAUUCACCGCUUUUAGAAAGUUGUAAAUAAUUCACUGCUUUUAUCGCCUUAUUUUUAUAAAUAAAAAUGUUGAAUAUCUAUUUUUAUAUAAAAGGCUUUAUAGGCUUCGUAGGCCAAAAACUCCGAUUGACAUGUAUCUGCGAGUUAGUUGUAUUUCUGAUUUUUUAAUUGUGCUUCAUUUUAGUGUGCUACUUUGAUUUGCAAUAAUGCUUGCUGAGAGAAUUACAUUGCUUGAAUUUUUUUGUUUAUUAAAAUGCUAAGUUUACAGAGAUCUCCCAACUAAAACCAUUCUAAAAUAGCCCAUUCAACUAUUUUUUUGAUUUAAUCCCUCGACUUCUAAAUUUUUAGAAUUGGAUGGUUUCUUUCCAAAUAAUUUGAAAAUUUCAUCAAAUUCAUUUGUGACUCUCCAAAUUUAAUUAUUUGAGUCAUUUGUUGAAAAAUAAAAUUUGGUUAAUUAAUGGUUUGUUAAUAAGAGAGUUAUUAUUGACAAAGGUUUGUUAAUAAGAGAGUUAUUAUUGACAAAAUUUUUAAUCUAAGUAUAGAACUUAAACGAAAAAAAAAGAGAUUGAGAGUUGUCCGUCAAAAAAAAAAAAAAAGUCGAGACGACUAAAAUUAUUAAAUUUGGAAUGUACCAGCAACGUUGCAUCUUUAGAAAACUCUUAAAAUUUUUUUGAGAAAUAAAAAAAAUACUUAUUUUAUUUAAAAUUUUAAAAUAAAAAAACUCUUAAAAUUUUAAAAUAUAUUUCUCGACUAAUCAGAAGAUAUUAUAUUUUACUUAAAAUACUUAUUUUACCCUUAUUUGUAUUAUCCCCAUAUAAAAUUAUCACUCAAAGAUAUUCUAUAACUGAUCAAAGAAAUCAAAACAGAUCAAAUGAUCACAGUUUAUUAUUGAAAAGCGCAAAAAUUUAAUUAUACCAUCAAAAUUGAUCGUUGUUGUCGAUCAUAAUUAGGGUCAAAAUAGUAAAUCCAACUACUAUGCUUUUAGGAGGACAGAGGUUUUCGUCCUCCUAAGUAGUUUUAAACGAUAGAGAUUUCAAAUCGAUGAUCGAAACUAUUAGGGUGUGUUUGGUUCGAAGUCGGAAUCGAAAUCGGAAUCGGAAUCAAAAUAAGCUAGAAUCGGAAUCGGAAUGACUCAUUAUCUAAUUUUGUUUGGUUCAUCACCUGAAUCGGAAUCGGAAUAAAUCAUUCUCAUUGUCGGUGUUUGGUUCAGGUGGAUAUAAAAAAUGUAAUCAAAUUAAUAUACUAACAUUAUCUUUAUAAUAUAUUAAUUUAAAUUUAAAAUAAAAAUUAAAUAUUAAAAAUUUACAUCAAAAUUUUGAAAUAAUGUCAAAAUUUUAUAUC